rnacentral:lncRNA from 1 species
AAAAAAAAAAAAAAACUCAAUUUAAAACCUAACACUUUUAUAAGUAUUUGAAUUUUUAUUUUUGAUUUUGAAAAAAUUAAACAUUUUUUUUUUACAUUUUCUUACGUUUGAUAUCACAUGAAUCUAAAUAGUUACCAAUACAAUAAAAUUUUGAAAGUAUAAAUCUAAAAAUUGAAAUGUAGGUUGAAUUUAAACUUUAAAAAGUUAUAAGGUAUAAUUUAAAUCUAAAACGUACUACUAAAUUUUAAACAUAUAAAAAACUUUGAUAGGUGAUAAAUAGAGAUUAUAAUAAUCACGUUGACAAGUAAUUCAAGCUCAUUAUUAUAUAUAUAUAUAUAUUUAAUUAUUGUAAAUAUAGGACAUUUAAAUAAGUAAAUCAAUAGAAUUUCUUAAAAAUAAUUAGUAACAUAUAUACUUUUAAGAAAUAAAAGCCAUGUCAACUUUAAAAAGUUUUGCCUUAUGAAUGAAGCAUACAAAUUAUAAGUUUGAUAAACAUCAUUUGAAACUUUUGUACUUGUUUAUUCUCUUCUCUAGAUUCUUAUAUACUUAGUUGCUUUAAAGCUCAACUUCACAUUUUUAAUCUUGAGUAGUUUUAUUUAGUUACAAUACAAACAAAAAUUUAAAACUUCAACACGUUAUCGAAGAUGGAGGAUUUUCCUAUUUUCUCUCUCGUAAUAGUAGAUUUUAGGGGUAUACAUGGGUUUAACAACCCAUUUGAAUCUUUCGAGGUAGCCAAACUAACUAGUUCGAAGGCCUUGAUACGUCUCCAAACUGGAACCAUUAAAUAUCUAUGGUAUUUAUUACAGGUUUUGAAGGAAGAUAUCAAAUUAAUUAGUUUUAAAAACAAAAACAUAGAAGAGUUACAAAUUCAUCCAUUUAUGUAAUUCAAGUUAUUGAUUUUAAAUACUUCUAUUCAACAUAAGAUCUUUACCGUCUCAACAAAAGUAGAAAAAUACUCAAAUCAAAAACAAAACUAAAUCAUCCGAUUCAUUUGAACAUUUUAUUAAAAAAAAAUAUCUUUAGUGAAUUUUGGUAUUGAAUAGGGUUGUGACAGAUGGCAAUAUUUAAGCAUAUCUAUUGUACUAAUUUAAUCAUUUAAGUAAUUAAUACCCAAAUUAAACAACCUUUGAAUUUGUCUCUUCCUCCCUGUCUCCUUGAUUUAUUAUAAUUAUACUUUAAUGUACAGAUUGAUGUACUGAUUUCCUCCUUUUUUUUUUCUUUCUUUCUUGUAAACUCAUAUAAUUCUAAAUUAAAAUUACAAAAGUCAGGGUUGACAAAGGAUGGAAAAAUUUAAAAGUCAAUAAUGUGAUUAAUUAGUAUUAUAACUAAUAAUUAUAUCAUCUAAGUUUGACACACACAUUGUUUAAUGAUAAAGUAUUACCUAAAUAAAGUAUAUAAUAAAAAAUUUAAUACUAGCAAGCAUAAUUACUCAACAAAUUAAAAUAAAAGAAAUACACACAAUUACAAAAAUGAAGUUGUAUCAAUUCAAACCGUGUAAAGAUUAAAUUGUCAAGUUUAACGACUAAAUUAAAUUGUUAUUUCUCUUCGUGCGUGUAUAUAGAUAGUAUCCCAAUUGAACAUCGAAAAUUUGGAAUCACAUCAUUCAAACAACUCUUUGAAAUUUAAAAUUGAAAUCACAAUUUGUAAUAGUUAUGACCACUCUAUAUUUAAGAUUAUAUAUAUAUAUAUAUUUAGAGAGAAUUCAUACUAAAAUCUAGGCGUAUUUAAUUUCAACAAUGAAUUUCAAAACUAUUAUUAUAUAUCUAUGGCAAGUUUUAAAGUAAGAAUAGAAAAUUUAAAAAAUCGUACAUUUGGCAAAGAACUGAAAUUUAUGUUCCACUAUGCAAUUUCCAUUGCUGAAAAUAUUAAUUGAAAGAAAAAAGGAAACUGAUUAUAUAUAUAUAUAUAUAAAAGAAAUUAAUUUAUUGGUAAAAAUGCAACAAAUUUUAUACAUUUAUUAUAAUUUCUUAUGCCCAUUGGAAUAAAGAGGAGAAAAUUGCAGGCCUUUCUCUAUUUCCAUUUUGUUUUGUUUUUUAAUUUAAUGUUUUUCAUGCAAGUUGAAAUUAGAUAUACAAAUAUCCAAAAUAGUCUCUCAUUAUAUAAUUUAUAAAAUUGUGAAAGCUAUUUUUACAAGAAAAUAUGAGAAUAUAUAAAAUAAUAUUCGUCGGAUAAUUAGUCAUCAAAUCAAUGGCCGUACAAUAAUGUAUAUACACACGUAUAUAUUUUAAAUACAUAAAUAAAUUGCCGGCUUAUUUGGGUAGUGAUGGUAACUCAUAUUUAUUUUAAAUAAUGCCAAUUUUAAAAAUAUUUAUAAAUAUACUAAAAUAUUGCAUACAUGGGUUACAUAUUUAAAUACUGAUAAUCAAAUUUUACUAUAUUUAUUUAUUUGAGUUGUUUUAAGAAGAAUUUUUAAAAAUAAUAGAUUUUAUAAAAUAUUUAGAAUCCAUACAAAAUUUUAUCUGAUAGUCAUUGACAUGCUAUAGUGAUAGAAGACUUUUAGUAAUAGAAUCCAAAAUUUUGCUAUAGUUCGUAAAUAUUUUAAUUUAUUUUACUAUUUUUAAAAAUGUUCUUUUUAUGAAUUGGGUGAAGAAGUUUAGAAAUAAGUAUUUUGUGAUUAAUAUUUAAUUAAAUAGUUUAGAGUAACUUAAAAAUAGCAAAAUAUUGAAUCUAUUUGCCAACUAGAGAAAAAUUGAUUCAACUCUUCCUCUAUUUAAGUUUUUUCGAUUUAUCUGUUAUUAAAAAUUCCUAAAUUAUUCAAAUUUAAGAUUUUUUUUAUGAAUUUUUAUUUUUAAAAACUGAAUCUAUUUCAUAUCAAUUUCUCAUAGUUUUUUUUUUUCUUUGUAGGGAUGAUUCUUUCUUGAUCACUUUAAUGUUUAGCAACGCAUCCCUGCAAAUCAAUAAAACCUAAUCAUUUGCUUACCUUAUAGUUUAACUACAAAAUUUUAAUGGUAAUUGCAUGGUGCAAUUCUAAAAGAUUUCUACAAUAUGGUUUUGCAGAAGAUAAUUUGUACAGAAUAGUACUAAAAAUGAUAAAAAAUUAUAACAACCUGUAAAUAUUUUGUCAAUUUUGUUAUUUCUUAAUAUUUUUAUUUAAAUUAGAAAACAAUAUUUUAAAAAAAGAAAUACACUAAACCUCCUAACCAAUUCAUAAAUAAAUUACUCAUAAUAAAAAGAGUUGGAAUUUGAUGCUCACAACGGUAAUUUGAUCAAGAUGAUAUGAGUUUCCACUGAUCACAAGUGAAAACAUUAAGAAAAUAUUUUUUUUGUAAUUUUAAAUAAUUAAGUUUAGAAAAAUUUUAAAAAGAAAAGUUCACGUGAAUAGAAGAAAAUGAUAAGUUUUUACCUAGAUACUUUAAAGCUUGAAGUAAAAUUUUAGUUAUUUAUUUUGAGGUUAGAUUAAAAUUUCGUGGGCUGUAAAUAUAUAGUUGGUUAAUUCUUCUAUUUUUAAAAAUCUCCACUUAAAAAAUAGUAGUAAUUUAAUUUAAUUUUAAUAAAUUUAUUUAUUUUUUAAAAAAACUAUAACAAACAUGUCUACGUCUUUUUUAUAAAAAUAAAAGUCUACUUAAUCAAUCCCACUAUAUCAUCAUUAGGUCAUGUCCCUUUUUGAUUAAGAGGUGCUAACCUAAAUAAAAGUCGAUAAUAUUAAUUAAAAAUUAAUCUAUAUAAAGGUAUAGAUGAGAAUAUAUAUAUAUUUUUCCAAAUGUACCCAUUCACUAAAAGAAUUUUCAUUUAUUCAUUUUUAUUGCAAUUUUGUUUUUAAAUAUAAAUGUUCUUUCAUUUGUUGAAAGACUCCAACUCUCUAAUCAAAUAAUAUGUUUCAAAUGUUGACAUUUUUUAAAUAAGUAGACUUCCAAAUAUAGAAGUUUUGAAGAUACACAAAAAUGUUGGUAGAAAAAAAAAAUAAAAAAAGUCUUAUAUAUAUAUAUAUAGUAGAAAAAAAGGUUACAAAUUUUUUUCAAUUUUUGGGCUUUAAAUUUGCAUUGUUAAUUAGAAUUAAUAAGAUAUUUAAUUUUUAAUUAAUUUCUAAGAUGUAAAUGAAAAACCAUUUGCAUUCCAACUUUUCAUAUCCUCCGUCUAUAAUUAAUUCAAAAUGUAGUUGAUAAAUGAAAAAUCAUUUGCAUUCCAACUUUUCAUAUCGUGCAUACUUUAAAUCUACUAAACUUAAAUAUAAUUAAUUCAAAAAGCAGUGGAGGAGGGCGAGUCUUUUAUAAUUAUUUAUAUUAAAAAAACAAAAUUAAAAAUGAAUUUACCAUAAAACUAAAAAGUGAUUUGGACAUAGAACUAAGCUCAAUAAUAUAAUGAAGAGAAAAAAGUUUCUCCACAUUUUGACUCUUAUAUAUACUAUAGAUAGAUGUAGAAGUCUUAUAUUUUCGGUUUUAACAUAAUUAUUCUAUACUUGAUGUCGUUUCUUUACGAGAAUAAAAAACGGGCAUGUGUUAAUUAUCUAAUUAAAAUAAAAGACUAAUUUAAUAAUUCAAAAAUUAAGUUUGGAAAAGUUAAUAAAUAAAGUGAUUUAUUUCCAUUCACAAUUUCAGCUUUGUUUUAUAAUCAAUACUAUUUGAUCUUUUAGCUUUUUAUUUUUAAAAAUUAAACUUAUAAAGGGAACUUUCAAAUUCAAAUUUUUGUUGAAAGAGUCUUUUUACUUUGAGAAAUUUUCAUUUUAAAAUUUAGUGUUUUUAUUUGAGAAUUAUUUAUUUCAUGUAUGUAAUUUAUGAACUUCUUAUAUCGUUAACACAUGUUUUAGGUUGUCUCAAGUAUGCUCAUUUUAAUCUUUUAACUCACUUUUAGUUUGAAGAACAAAUGUCAAUUCAAUAAUUUCACAUUUCUUCACUCGACAGAACUUUUGGACCCGAAUUCAAGACAUAAUAUUUUGCCUAAUAAUGCUAGAGAACUAGAAAAGCAAUGUCAAAAAAUCCCAAAAACGAAAGAAUAAUUUAUCUAUAUGCUGAUAGACUUUAUAUACUUUCAACUCAUAUAACAUCGAGUUACUAACCAAGACUUGAUUAUUAUACUUGUUACCAUGAUCUGCAUAAUACCGAAGAAUAAAAACACCAUCAAACUUUGCAAAAUUAUAUAAAUAAAUUGUUUUACCACUUCGUCUUAUGUUUCAAUACACUUUCCUCCAAAUUCUCAAAUAUUUUCUCACUCCUUUUUUCAAAGUAACCACACCUAUUUAUGUUACUUUUUACUUUAACGUGUAAAUAAUUUGUUAUAUGAAGUGUAAAUGGUUUAUCAAUUUUUGAAAAGGUUUGUAAAAUGAAUGUAAAAUCUCCAUUCUCCAGCAAAGAAAAAGAGAUCUCAUGCAUAUAUAUAUAUAUAUGCUAGACUAUAAGUAUAGAUAUAUAGGUAUCCACUAAAUUUUGAAGAGGAAAAGAGAGAAGAAAACAUGAUAAUAAUGAAAAGGAGUGAUUAGAUGAGAGGUUAGGCGUGAAGAUAUGAAGAAAGUGGAGCCAAAGCACUAGAAAUUGUCCCAUUAUUACAAGCUAUGGGUCCCAAUUAAGGAGGUCGUCAUGAUUGGAAUUUCAUCAUCACUAUCUUUCAAAAUUUCUAUUUCUUUUUUCUUUUCAUAAACAAACCAAAUACAAUUUUAAUUUCUCUACUUUGAAUUGAAAAAUAUUAAAAAAGAUAAAGUUAGAUAGAUACAGAGAUUAAUCCAUAUUUCAAACUUAAUUACUAAUUUAAAUUUACUUAAUAUUUUUAUAGUUUUUGUAAAAAUAUAAAUUAAAACAAACAUUUUAAAUCGAUAUUUCUACUAGUGCUAUUAGGAGGAAUUUAUUAUUUAUUCUUUUCUCCAUUAGCUAUCGAUAUUAUUUAUUUAUGCAUAUCUAAUAUUAAAAUUCAACUAAAAAUACAAACAACUAAAAUUGAAUAGUGUUCAAAUAUAGAGCCCUUGUUUUCAAAAUGAAACAAGUAGAAACUAUUGUAGCAAUUAAUAUCAAUGUUGAUGAUAUUAAUAAAAAGAAUUAUAAAAACAAAAAGAAUUUAAAAAAAAUUAAAAUUAACUACUAACUAGUAAAUAAUUAUUGGACACUUUCUUUUAUAGAAAUACAUUCUAACUUUUUUUAUACAAGUUUGAACAAUUUAAUUCAUCCUAGGAUUAAUCUCUGUGGUAUACUUAUUAGGAUGAUUAUAAAUGUGAGAAUGUUAAUAAAAUUGUUGAUAUUGGGAGGAAAAUUGAAUAGCAUGAUAAUAAGAAAUUAGAAGGAGAUUGGUCAAAUAUUUUAGCGCAUGCUUAUUGUUUUUAUUUUGCUUUAUUUCACUCUUUGGGUCCUACCAACCCCUAAAAGUCCUUCUUUCACUUUAUUGAUUGUUUUUUUUUCCUUAACAAAAAAGAGAAAGAAAAAAAGUUCAAAUUACUUUAUGAUUUUGUAAAAAUCCAUGAAUAAAGAUGCUAUUAUGCCCUUUGAUAAUGAUUGUUUUUUCUUUUAUAAUACUAUUUUUGGACCACGAAAUGGUAAAAUAUUGAGAAUGGAGACACAUAGCCCAAAUGAAGUUACAUAAUUUGACUUCACAUGUUGAAGAAAAAGUGUUAAAUUGCUAUUAUAUUUUGAGAAUUGUUUGUUUGUUUUUUUUAUUAAGUAAUAAAUUUUUAUUGAAAUUUUAGAAGUUCUUAAUAGAAUCCUAGGUGGCAAAGUGGGCUCCACUUGGCGUUCUCUCACCGUUGACUAAGAAACAAAAAGUUUUGGUUAUGUUUUGCUUUGGCCUACUCGGAUUGGCCACGUGGGUCCCACCAACCAAAAUCAAAACCCACACCUGCUGAAAGCAAUUCCCUUUUCCACUUCUCACUCUUUCACUUUGAACUUCUCAAAAAAGCAAUUCACAGAGAACCGAAAACCAUAUGAAAAGAAUGGAAAAACAAACAAUACCAACCCAUUUCCUUUCUGGGUUCUUCUAAGUUCACUCCCAUCUCAAUCACAAAACCUCAAAACUCCACCUUCUUUCUUCUUCUUCUUCUUCUUCUUCUUCUUCAAUGACGGUCUGAUGCUUCAUCUCUGUUUCUCUUUCAUCUUCUCUUAACGGGUUCUUUCCAUUGCCGGGGACUGGGUCAGAUUUGUACUCUUUUUGUAAUGUGGGUGUGGCGGCUCGGCGUCGUGAAGUUUCGUGAAAUCGCCUCACGUUUUGGAGGGAGGAGAUAUGAUGAAACGGCUAAAUGGGGCUUUGGUUUUGCUUUGGUUCAUCUUUGUUGGACAAUUUUGUUGUACCAAUGUCUCUGCAACUGUAGAAGGUGAUUCCCAUUUCCUUUUCCUACUGAUGUUGCUUGUUGUACUUGUGUAGAUGAAAAGGGUGUGUCAAAGAUCAUCAAUGUUUUGGAACUGAGACCAUGGGUUGGCCUAACGGUAAAUAAAUCAUAUGAGUUUGAUAAUGGGGAUUUAUUAUCUAUGGCGUUUCGUUGACGUAUAAAUAUUGCAGGGUGAAGUGGGUUGUCCUAUGAGAUUAGUUGAGAUGCCCAUAAAUUGUCCCAAUGCUUCAGACUGUAAACAAAAACGUUUUGGAACAGAAUUCUUUUGGGCCAAUUUACUUCUCUGCCUAAGGCUGUUAUCUCUUAAUAUUUUUCAUUUAAGUGGUGGUUUUGAGAGCUUAAUGGGUUGCCAUAGUGUAAAAUAGGUUGAGACGAGAAGCAUACUUUAAGGUAACAUUUUGAUAUUUUUAGAAAUGCAGUGAUUGAGCCUUGUGUUCUAACUUCCCAAAUACAACUGUCAUUUUUCAUUUUGUAUGCUUGAAUUUUAUUGUUAAAUUCGGUGAUAUUCUGUCUCAUUAUUGUAUUAUAGAAUUCUAAAAAGUUGUGGAUGUGAUCUCUUUUCUCUUAUUCAGCUUCUGUUGAAUUUGACAAUGUGUUCUUUCUAUUCUAAACAGCUACUGUUCUGCAUAUAUUUCGAUUGAAUUUGGAAGAUCCAAACAAUGUUCUGCAGAGUUGGGACCCUACACUGGUCAAUCCCUGCACUUGGUUUCACGUCACUUGCAAUAAUGAAAAUAACAUUAUAAGAGUGUAAGGGACAUCAUUUGUUCGUUCAUUUGUUCUCGGGCUAUGUAAACUUUGGUCAAUGUCAUACAAAAUUUUACAACUUUCGGCACUCUUUGCAGUGACCUUGGAAAUGCUGGAUUGUCUGGCAAAUUAGUACCACAGCUUGGUCAACUUAAAAGUCUUCAAUACUUGUAAGUCAUUGUUUGCUGUAAACUUGUUUGGACUUCAAUUCCUAUAGCAUAAGCAGUUGUAAUGGUGACUUUUACCUGCAUGUAUUGUUCUUCUCUAAGUUAAAUGAUUUUAAUUGAUUACAGGGAGCUUUAUGGUAACAACAUAAGUGGAGAGAUUCCAGAUGAUCUCGGGAACCUAGAAAAUUUGGUGAGCCUAGACCUUUACUUGAACGGUUUAACUGGCCCGAUUCCAGACACGUUUGGCAAGCUCACACAAUUGCGUUUCUGUAUGAAUAUUAUACAUCCUUUCUUUUCUCUUCUUUGUGAUAUGUUACUUGACAUCUUUUGUGCUUUUACUUUCAUUGAAUGAGAACAUGCUUCCCUAGAGGCUUGACUCAUUCAUUGUGUGUUUAUGCAUUAUCUUUGAACCAUACACAUUCUUCCCUUUAUGUAACUUAUGGGUGUUUUCUCUUGGUAUAUCUUUGAAUGGAUAGUCGGCUGAAUGACAACAAACUAUCUGGCUUGAUACCGAUUUCCUUGAUAAAUAUUUCCACCCUACAAGUCUUGUAAGCAUUUACACUAUCUUUUCUUGCUCUAAGGUUCAAUUUUGUUGGAAGUGAAAGUGAGAAUAUGAGUUGAAAUAGAGUGGCUAUAACGUAGUUUAAACAUCAUUCGCAGGGAUCUAUCGAACAACCUUCUAUCUGGAAAAGUUCCAAAUAAUGGCUCAUUUUCACUAUUUACUCCCAUAAGGUAUUUUGCUUAUAAAUUACACAUGAAGUUUCUUCUGGAUCGAUGUUAGCUGAUCAGAUACUAACUGCUAUCGUACUGUUUGUAGUUUUGCAAAUAACUUGGAUCUAUGUGGUCUGGUAACUGGGAAACCUUGCCCUGGGAUCCUCCCUUUUCUCCACCGCCGCCAUUUGUUCCACAAUCAACAGUUUCUUCCCAUGGUAUUAUCUGGUUAGAAAGAUUAUUGAAAUAGGCAAUUGUUCUAGUACUCUACCACAACAAAUUGUUUAAUGGAAUACUUCAUCUCACAAUUUGGUGCAUAUCAUUGACAUAAGUAACUUCACUUGGGUUUAAAUAUACAUUGUGUUUGUUGAACCUAACAAGUGAGGUUAAUUCACAUUUAAGAAAUGAGUUUCUAUGAACUUCUCCAUUGUAGCAUUAACUUAUCUUUGACUUUGAGAAAGCUUAAAAUAUGUUUGGUUUCUCUCCAGAAUUAAACAAUCCCAAUGGAGCAAUUGUUGGAGGAGUUGCUGCAGGUGCUGCUUUACUUUUUGCUACACCGGCUAUCAUAUUUGUCUAUUGGCAUCGGAGGAAAUCACGAGAAAUAUUCUUCGAUGUCCCUGGUUUGUCUCUGUUGCAAAAGAUUCACUUUUACCUUUUUUUAGCUUGCAAGUCACCAUGGCUUUGUUUAUGCAGCGGAAGAGGACUCAGAGAUCAACUUGGGGCAGCUGAAGCGGUUUUCUCUGAGAGACUUACAAGUUGCAACAGAUAACUUCUGCAACAAAAAUAUUCUUGGUCGAGGUGGAUUCGGUAAAGUCUAUAGGGGACGUUUGGCUGAUGGCUCGUUAGUAGCAGUAAAAAGGCUCAAAGAAGAGCGUACGCCAGGUGGGGAGUUACAAUUCCAAACAGAAGUAGAGAUGAUUAGCAUGGCAGUGCACCGAAAUCUUCUGCGACUACAUGGAUUUUGUACAACAUCGAGUGAACGCCUCCUUGUUUAUCCUUAUAUGGCCAACGGAAGUGUUGCAUCAUGUUUAAGAGGUACAAUUUCUUGUUUUUCCUUGAAAAUGUUAGAAGUUUCAAGCUCAAGUUUUUUCUAUAACUUUUCUAGUGUAUCUUCAAUCUUGUUACAUUAUGUAUUUUAUUUAGUUUUGAUAUGAAAUCAAAACUAUCUUAUCCACAUCUUUGUUAAUUGGCAAAGCCACUUUUAUUACAAACUCAUAAUGUAGCUAGCAUAUUUUUCAUAGAACGUCCACAGUCUGAAGCUCCUCUCGACUGGCCAACUAGAAAGAAAGUUGCAUUAGGCUCUGCGAGAGGUCUUUCUUAUUUACAUGAUGGAUGUGAUCCAAAAAUCAUCCAUCGUGAUGUGAAGGCUGCAAAUAUUCUACUAGAUGAGGAAUUCGAGGCUGUUGUGGGUGAUUUUUGGUCUUGCAAAGUUAAUGGAUUACAAGGAUACUCAUGUUACAACAGCAGUAAGAGGUACAAUUGGGCAUAUAGCUCCAGAGUAUCUCUCAACUGGGAAAUCAUCUGAAAAGACUGAUGUCUUUGGUUAUGGCAUUAUGCUUUUGGAGCUAAUAACCGGACAAAGGGCUUUCGAUCUUGCUCGACUGGCAAACGAUGAAGAUGUCAUGCUGCUUGAUUGGGUAUAAACUCAGGAUUUUUCUUUUUGCAAAGUCUACUAACUUAGCAGCUCUCAACAGUUUUUUCUCUAACCACUCUCGUUUUGAUUACAAACUUUUCAGGUGAAAGGGCUUCUGAAAGAGAAAAAGUUGGAGAUGUUGGUUGAUCCUGAUUUGAAGGAGAACUAUGAUGAGAUUGAAGUUGAGCAAAUAAUCCAAGUAGCACUUCUCUGCACACAGAGCUCGCCUAUGGAACGACCCAAAAUGUCUGAUGUGGUGAGAAUGCUGGAAGGAGAUGGGUUGGCUGAGCGAUGGGAGGAAUGGCAGCGAGUGGAGGUAGUUUACCAUGAAACAGAAUUGACAUCUUCUCAAACUUCAGAAUGGAUGGUUGAUUCGACUGAAAACGUUCGUGCUUUUGAAUUAUCUGGUCCUAGAUAACUAAACAGUUUGAUAGAAACAAAAUGUCAUCAUUCCUUCUUUUUUUCUUCUUUUAUUUAGAGUGCUCACUUUUUGCUUCACAAAACCUGUGUAUAUGAACACCUUGUUAGAGCAAUAUAUUACGUAUACAUAGCUUCAUUUUCAUAAUUCUUCUUUCUUCUUCACUUCAUUUCAGUUAUUCACCAAGUCUUGAAAGUUUUUAAGCAUUAAAAUAAAAUGAUCAUUUGUAUCAAACUAUAGACACAAACUUAAAACCAAAAAACUUAGUAGACAUUUUCAAAUUUUAGAAGCUUACGUUAAAAGUAAUGAGUUUUGAAAUUUCACCCUAAUAAAAGAUAAAUUCUAACUUAUCAAAUUUAUAAUUUAAUUUUCUUUUCAAUGUAGGAUAAGUUACAAAACUAUGAUUACAAGAUAAUGACUAAAUUUUAAGAAGAAAAAAAAUGAAGUUUGGCUAUGUAAUAACCAUUUUUCUUUUCAAACUAACCUUAUUUUCUCUCUAACUUGUCAUAAUGAUUUAUAAUUUUUUUAAUUUUAAAAUCCUAAAAGGUUUUUAAAAUUUGUAUCUUCAUCUCUAAGUUUUAAAAAUGUAAAUUUUGGUGUGCAGAUUUUUUAACAAAAACUUAUUUUGAUCUUUUCGUUAGAACUACGUUAUCUUAACAAAAUGUUAGAGUGACACUUCUAUAUUUGGAUGAGUUGAGCGAUCAAGUAACUUCUCUAAACGUAAUCAAACACUAACAAUCAAAUAAACUCAAAUUAAAAAAUUAAAAUUGUUUUUUUCUCAAAAUUUAAAUCUCUCACAUCCUCUCUUGUCUCUCUCACAUUGUUUUUCAAAUUGAAAUCUUGAAGCAAAUUAGAAGAACAUUAAGUAGAAUAAAAAUAAAUAAAACCGACAUAUUAACGUGCUAAAAUCUCUAACAAGGUAAAAUAAAUUAGAAAAUAAAACAAAUAUAACACAUUAAUAAAAUAAACUCUAUAAAAUUACAUAUCAAUAUUCCUACCAUGAAUCAUGAAACCAAAAAAAGAAAAGGAGAAGAAAGAAUUGUGAAGAAGAGAACAAAAAGGCAUAUCAAUGAAUCACAAGAUACAUCACGACUAAACAAUUUGUAUGAGAAUAAAUUUGUAUGUAUGAGUUGAGAAAUGAACUAAAAUGUCAUCCUCGUCAUGAUUUUGUUAUAGAAUUUUUUUUUUAAAGAAAUUUACAUGGACCAAAAUAGAAUUUAAAUGUUUUUCGUCAACUAUUGUUUAGAAAACUAAUUUUUAGCUCUCGAAAUUUAAAGAAAUUUAGAGAAGCUUAACUUUUGUUUUUUGUGAAAUAGUAUAUUAUUAUGAUUUUUUCAAACAAGCUUAAUUUUUUUUUAAAAGAAAAAAAAAAGACGAAAUGGGGCUAAAUUUGUAAUUUAAACUUUUAGAAAAGUUGAAUCGGAGAAGAUGAGGGAUGGAAGCGACGGAGAGAAGAAAAACGGGAGAAGCUUUUGAGAAACGCCGCCUCCUUAAACCCUAAAAUUUCUAUGCUUUUCAGCUCUUAAAUUAAAUGUACGCUAUGUAUCCAUCAUUCUCUGUUUGUGUUCCCUCUCCCCUUAAUCCUCCUUUCUUCCUCCGACUAAUUCAUCCAUUCUUGUUUUCUUUCUUCUCUUCUUCUUCUUCUUCUUCUUCUUCUUCUUCCCACUCCCAACCACCCUCUCAUUCCUAUGGAAUCGUCCUCCAAUACCUCAUCGAUACCUUCCAACUCUCCCCCGCCAGAGCCGUCUCCAUUAUGGCAACCCGUAGAGGCAUUCAAUCAACUGAAAAGCCUCGUUCCGUUUACAAAUAUCUUUCGGACCUCGGAUUAUCCGACACCCAAAUUAAAUCAGCCGUUCGAAUCACACCCCAAAUCGCGUUUUCCAGCAUUGAGAAAACACUGAAGCCAAAGAUCGAGUUCUUACAGAAUCUUGGCUUUGUUGGCUCAGAUUUGAGUAAGUUCAUUUCCAGGCAAUCUAAAUUUUUUUCUUCUAGUUUGGAAAAGACAUUGAUGCCCAAUGUUGAGAUUCUUAAGAAUGUUUUGCCCAAGGGUACGUGUAAUGACGAUCUCCCGAAAGUUUUGCGGCGAUGUUCUGAUGUACUUACGAGAUCCCCGUAUAAAGUGUUGUCUGUAAAUAUCAAUUACUUACGAAGUUGUGGGAUUGUUGACUAUCAACUCUCUACGUUAUUGAAGCGACAACCUGCACUUUUUAUUAUGCAUGAAUCUCGACUUAAAGAUUUUGUUUCAAUGGCUGUAAAGGCUGGGUUUUCUCCCAACGGUACAAUGUUUAUUCAUGGACUUCAUUCUAUCAGUAGUAUAAGUAAUGCAACUUAUAAGAAGAAAGUGAAGCUGAUUUGUAGUUUUGGAAUAACUGAGAAAGAAUGUAUGAGAAUGUUUAAUUCGGCUCCUGUUUUGAUGAGGACUUCCGUUGGUAAACUUGAGGUUGGUCUAGAAUUCUUCAUGAAUGAGGCAAAAGUUAGCAAAUCAGAUAUUGUUCGUAAUCCUUUUUGUUUGAUGCACGCAAUGCAUGGAAGGGUGCUCCCUCGUUAUAGAGUUCUAGAGGUUCUGAAGUCGAAGAGGCUAACGAAGAAGCUCCCGAAGUUGAUCGAUUCAUUGUGGAUGCCUGAUGAGGAUUUCUUAGAUAAAUUCGUUCGUAGGUUUCCUGACAAUAUGAAUGAUUUGUUUGAGGCCUUUAGAGGUAAUUCGAGGAGAUAGCAACAUGAAGAUGGGGCAAGAACUAGAGCUAAUUUGAUCUAACAUUUGGUCAAUACCUUGAGAACAAGUGGUCGGGGUUGGAAGGUGCUUUGAUCAUAGUGAGCUCUUGAUUCCCCCUUUUCAUGUUAGGAUGGUCUCUCUCUAUCCCACAUUGUAUGUGCUACUAUGGUGAAUGUACUUGGAUUAAAGCUUCACAUUACAAAACACAACUAUUUUGCAUGACAAUUCUUCCUAAAAAUAAUGUAAAAAAUAACAGUAAAGAUCCUAAAUAGUUUAAGUUAAGGAAAUUGUAUGGAUCAGAAUGACACUCUUAAAAGUAAAAGAAUAAAACUAAACUAAGAUUCCUUUGAUCUAAAAACCUAAAUUGAUUUGAAUGUGUUUAGUUAUUCUUUACUUUUGACAUGUGCCAUGUGGAUUGUACCAUUGAUUGAUGGAUUCUACCUAAUUUGAUUGGAUUGAAAGGUGAUCGACCCAAUCUUUAAAAAUUGCACGAGAUCCACAAUUACUUACUAUCACUGUUAGGAUCAAAUGGUAAUAAUAAAUACAACAAAUUUAUAAUUCUAAGGAGGGAUAAAUAACAAUUCAACUGUGAUUGUAAUUCACUGUGAUUGAUUUAUCAAUGCAAUUUUAUUACGACUAUGUCAAUUGUGAUUUCGAAGUGAUAGAAUACGUAAAUAUAAAAAGAGAAGAAACUUUUGUUGUAUUAACUUUUACCAUAUAAUUUAAAAAUAUAUCUUUCUAUUUCAAACAUCAAUAAUAAUUUUGUUCUAUAUAUUUUGCAUAAAGUUGAGAAAGAAGGCUAAAUAGAUGGUGAUCAAUAUUUAACUUUUACAAACAUAUAGAAAUAGAAAAGUAAAUGAGACUUUGUGAGAAUAUAAAUGACAAUUAGGAUCGACGAACUUAAUUUUUUUCACGUCUCAAUCUUUAUUGUACUAAAGAAAAGCAAUAGAAAAGUAAAUGACACUCUGUGAGAAUAUAAAUGACAAUUAGAAUGGACGAACGUAAUUUAAUUCAUGUCUCAAUUUUUAUUGUACUGAAUAAAUAUAAAAAAGAGAAUUUUGAUUUACCUAUUCUGGUUGAUAAAAGAUAAAUAUCUUACUAAUAGGUCAGUAUUAAAAACGUAAAGAAUCUAUUGCACCAAACAUUUAUUUUUAAAUAAGGAAAAGAUAAAUAAAAUAAACUCAAAAUUGAAAGGCUAUACUUAUAAUUAACUUUAAUAUUAAUGUUUGUGGAAUUUUAAUUUUCUGUUUAAAGUGGUUGAGAUAGGAAUCUUACAACCUUACACUGUUAUCGCUAGAAAGAAAAACAAUUUUUAUAGUCGAUGGCAGAUCCGAAAAUUUUACAUAGGAGACACCAGACACUAUAUAAUAAACACAUUAAAAAUGUUAAAAAAUAUCUUGACGUUUCACUUAUGCUCUAAUAACACUCACUACAUUUAUAGCAAUAAAUAAAGACCGACAAUUUUCACAUGAUUUUUUUUAAUGUAAAUAUGUAAAUUUAAAAUUUGCAUAAAAAAAGAAAAAAGAAAGAAUAAUACAUUUUUAAUAUUAUUGAAAGAGUGGAAGUUUGGAUCACCGAUUUUAUUACAUUCUUUUAAUUUUUUUUGUUAGAUAACAAAUGAGAUCUAAGAAAUAAGUUAGGGUUAUAUAUGAGUUUUUUUUUUUUUCUUUUUAAAAAUUAUCUUCUUUUGGUGAAAUCAAAUUAUCUUCUUUUUAGGAAAUCAAUAUCUUCCUUUUGUAAAUCAAAUUAUCUUCGUUUGGAAAAUUGUUAAAAUUUAAUAAGAAAUUUGAUAUCUUCAUUUUAGGAAAUCAUUAAAAUUUAGAAAGAGAUUUGAUAUUUAGGAAAAUCAAAUUAUCUUCUUUUUAGUAAAUCAAAUUAUCUUACUUUUGGCAAUCAAAUUAUCUUCUUUUGGAAAUCAAAUUAUCUUCGUUCGAAAAUGGUUAAAAUUUAAUAAGAAAUUUGAUAUCUUCCUCUCACGAAAUCAUUAAAAUUUAGAAAGAAAUUUGAUAUUUAGGAAAAUAAAAUGAUUGAUAUUUGAGAAAAGAAUUUGAUCGAUGUUUUGAAUAAAAAUCUAUUUUGUAAUAAUUUAUGAAUAAAUUUGAUAUGUGAGGAAAAAAAUUAUUGAUAUUUGAAAGAAAAACUAUUUCGUAGGCAAAACGAAGCUAAAUUUAAUAUAUAUUAUAAUCUAACACUUCAAAAUUAAUAUUAAAAUACAAAAACCGAUAACGUGAGAGGACACGUACCUCCAAUCCCUUAAUAAAUUCGACCUUGUUCAUAGCUAUCAACAACUAUGAGACCAAAAUUAUUUUUUUUGUGAAGGAAUAAAAUUCUAAAUUUCCCUCCUUUCUCUGAUAUAUUAAUUUGUGAUUGUUUAUAUAUAUAUAUAUUUCAAGAAAAAUUGUUUUCAAAUUAAGAAGAUGGGGUAAUUUAUAAAGUGGUUACUAACAAUCUUUUAAUACUAAAAAAAGAAUUACAUGAGAACUUCGAGAUUAGACAAAUCAAAACCAACAUGUUAUAGUUAUUGUGAAAUGAAAUCUCCCAUAAUUAGAAAAGAAAAGAUAAAAUGAAAUCAAGCAUAGAUCAAAUACUUUAAAUCAAAUACUAUAAAGGACAAUUAUUAUAUACGUUAAUACUUUAAUUCUGAUUGCUAUAUUUACGAUUGUCCAUUAUUGGUUUGGUAUUUAAAUUUUAUAUAUGAUUUUACUGCCAUUUAUGAAUGUUUUAAUAUGUUUUUCUAUUUUUAAAAAAUAUCCAUUUUUAGCCCUCCAAUCAAACAUCAAUUAACUAUAUAACAUUUAAUUAUAAACUCGAAUAAAAUAUCAAUUUAUCGUCUAAGAUUUAAUUGAAAUCUACAAUAAAACAUUAAUUUACCAUCUAAACCUUUAAUUAAAAUUUAAAACAAUCGAUUAUUGAGAAUAACUAUCUUAUUUUGGAAUGGAGUCAUCUGAACAUAAACAUGUUUGAAAUUUGAUGGACAUGAAUCAAAAUAUAGUUUUGUUUAGAAAGUUGCAACAACUAGAACGAAUGUAAACGAAUGUGGAAUGAAAAUAGGGUGUUUUAAAGCAUUUAGAAAGUAAAAGAUAGGGUUAGACAGAAAGUUAGGAGUAGAAGAUAAAAUUUACAUAUUUUAAGUAAACUAUUAGGAAAGAGGGAACCCACAAAUUCAAAAAUGAUUCUCUUCUUUAUUGGAACAAUCACAUGCAUUAGAAAACAUCAUAAUCAGCAUCUACUCAUCAACAUGAAGUAAGCUCAGCAGAUUCUUGGAAUUUCUCAUAUACUCACUCUCUUCAUUGACUUUUCCCAAAGUUGGCAACUUGAUUCAGCUUUAGCUGACAAAGCCAGCAUCAUCCCACGAAAUCCAGAAGCACUUUUUCGUUUUGGAGCUUCGAGUGCUCCACCAUGGCGUUUCAAACCCAAUUUUUGAAGAAGGCCUCCGUGAGGCGAACUCGAAGGCGCUUCAUGGCUUUUCCAGGCCAACCUUUUGCGCUUCUUUCUCUUCCAUUCCUUCUUCUUACGCUGCCAUGGGUGCCGACGAAUCCAAACCUGUUCUUCCGCCCUUUGAUUAUGAACCGAGGCCUUACAAAGGGCCUCUCACCGAUGAAAUUUUUCAGAAGCGGAAGAAGUUUUUAGGGCCUUCGCUUUUCCACUACUACCAGAAGCCAGUAAUCUCUCAGAUUUCGACUUCAUAUCCUUGUUUGUUUCAGUUUUCUGCAUUCUUGAUUUUGCUGUGGUUUUUUCUGAUAAAGAUUGAUUGUGGAAUUCUGUCGGUUCAUUUCUUUGAACAGAUUAUGAUUUUGCAUGAUUUUUCCGCUUUUUUUAUUCGUUGCUACUGCAGAUUUGUUGAUCUUAGUCACUGUUUUAUGGGAUACGCUUGGUUGUUUGGUUUCUGUUUGAACACACAUCAUUAAACUGAUCUUGGUUUGUGCAUGUCGAAUUAUUAGGUGCGAAAAAUUGUUUAUGCAUACUUACGUUCUUCUUCUGUUUGGGGGUCGUGUUUUCAUAUUUCUACGUUUGUCUAUAUUUUCUCAACUUCGUACUUCUAUAUAUAGAUAAAAAAAAAGCGUCCACGUUUUUUUAUGCGCCUUGCGAUUAACCAGAAGAUUAUUGCGUUUUAUUGUGCCUUUAAAAACCGCUGGGUAGGGCUUAGUAAAUGUGGAUCCAUUCUUUGAGACCUUGAAUUAAGUCAAGCUUCACUUCAUUCAUUACUUUAUACAGCUUUUCACCCUUGAAAGUUGAAACUAUUCUUGCACUAGUAACUUCUAUGGUUAUUGCUUUCCUAUGCUGGUACUUUGAUUUAAGUUGUUACAUGUCCACUGUCAAAAACAUUUGAUCAAGGGUUGCUAUUUUCGGGGCGGGCAGACUCCUAUAUCUUAGACUAGAAAAGUUUAAUAAAAGGGAUGAGUUUUAAAGUUUUCUCUCGUAUCUUCCCCCUCAUAAGUUUUUCGAAUUGAAAGAUUAUACGUGUAACUGGUUUAGAUCAAACUUUUGGCGGACUUUAUAAGAAAUCUACCCACCCUGGCCAGUUUGUUUUGUUUUGUAUUUGAUGGAUUCCCUUAAUUUCAUAUGUCCACACAUUCUUCAGAAACUGAUCUGUUUGAUUUACGCUCUUAAUUUACAGCUCAACAUUGUAGAAGGAAAAAUGCAGUAUUUGUUUGAUGAGAAUGGUAGGCGCUACCUUGAUGCUUUUGCUGGAAUAGUUACUGUAUCCUGUGGGCAUUGCCAUCCUGAUGUUUUGGCUGCAGUCAAUGAGCAAAAUAAACUUUUACAGCAUGCUACAACCAUAUACCUACACCAUGGGAUAGCUGAUUUUGCUGAAGCAUUGGCAGAAAAAAUGCCUGGAAAUUUGAAGGUGUUUUUUCCUUUUGAAUUAUUACAUAUUAUUAAUAUAUUUUAGAAGUUGAUGGAUGAUAAUGAAGCAAAGCAUGCAGUACAUGUUAGGCUCCGUGGAAAUUGUUGAACAUGUAUAGUUGUAUUUCAAUUCCUAGAACUGGUGGAUCUUGUUUCUCAACUUUUGUGGUUUGGUUGCUAUUUCAUCACUCCUUGAUUCUCCUUACCUUUUUAAAGAUUAUCCUACUUCUGUAUUGCUUUAAACUUCUGCUUUUUUCACUUUGUUAUUCAGGUUGUUUAUUUUGUAAACUCUGGGACAGAAGCAAAUGAAUUAGCCAUGCUUAUGGCCCGCCUGUACAGUGGUAAUCUCGGUAUGAUUGCACUGAGAAAUGCAUACCAUGGAGGAAGUUCCAACACAAUUGGACUGACGGCUUUGAACACAUGGAAGUACCCAAUACCUCAGGUUUUUCUGCCCAGAGCUUAAUCUCCAGUUUGAUGUUUUGUUUGGUUGCCUGUAUGUUAGAGAUAGAACUUACAUUGCCUUCUUGUUUUCUACUAGUCUGAUCUAGGCUUGCAGCAUCUUUUAAUUUAAAUGAAACAUUUUAGCAAUACUAUUAACACAUUUCAAGUAGCUACUUGAAGUAGAAAUAUCCACUUGAUGCAACUGCUAUUUUGUAAAAGCAAGAUGGAACUUUCACAUGCAAUUUACUCAGUGUAAACACAUACUCUGUUCUAGGAAGCUGCACAAUUUGAUCCAAGCAUUUUGAUUCACAUGCAAAAUUCUUGUGCUUGCAGGGCGAAAUUCAUCACGUUGUGAAUCCUGAUCCAUAUCGUGGUGUCUUUGGGUCAGAUGCUAGUGGUUAUGUCAAGGAUGUCCAAGAGCAUAUUGAUUAUGGUACUUCAGGAAAAGUUGCUGGAUUUAUAGCUGAAACAAUUCAGGUGCGUUUUUGUGACGUCUGAAAUCGAACAUGAUAGGCACAUUCUAUGUAAAAUUGAAAUUAUGUAUGGUUUUUCGGUUAUCUCAGGGUGUUGGAGGAGCUGUUGAAUUAGCACCUGGAUACUUGAAACAUGUUUAUGAUAUUGUUCGCAAUGCUGGUGGUGUUUGCAUUGCUGAUGAGGUCCAAACUGGCUUUGGUCGAACGGGAAGCCAUUAUUGGGGCUUUGAAACACAGGGUGUGAUUCCCGAUAUAGUAACGAUGGCAAAGGUAAUAUUUCUCAACCUUCAGCAAAAUGUGUUUACUCUUAUGCUAGUUGAAAACCACUGCAGCUCAUUGUCCUCGUUGUUCAUAACUUGAAAAUUUUCCCCCAACAGUUUUAAGUAUUCCACUUUUCAGGGUAUUGGAAAUGGUUUACCAUUGGGAGCAGUGGUGACAACGCCUGAAAUAGCGAGCACAAUGGCUCAAAAAAUUCAGUUCAAUACUUUUGGAGGGAACCCAGUUUGUUCCGCUGGGGGACUUGCAGUUCUAAGAGUUAUUGACAGAGAGAGGCGUCAAGCACAUUGUGCUGAUGUUGGUUCGCACUUACUGGAGAGAUUGAGAGCUCUCCAGGAAAAAUAUGAAAGUAAUUUCUCGUGGACUUUCUCUCUUUUAAGACUUCUACCUUCUUAAGUAAUCCACUUCGUUCUAAUAAUUCCAACGAUGACAUUUUUCAAAGCUUUGGAACACCAUUAGAAAUAAUUACGUUCAUUCCAACUGCUGCUAUUGUGAACCACACCCUGUCAUUUGAUUAAUGUAUUUUUUCCAGUCAUAGGAGAUGUACGAGGAAGGGGAUUAAUGGUAGGUGUAGAGCUCGUAACUGAUCGGAAGGAAAAAACCCCAGCAAAGACUGAAACCGCAGUAUUGUUCGAGAAACUAAGAGGUACUACAAUUCACUAUUUCCAAAGAAAAUAAUGUUAAACUGAAAGUAACAAAGGGCUGUUGUACUAAUGACUCGUUUCAUCUUGAUUGAAGAACUGGGCAUUCUCGUCGGAAAAGGGGGUCUGCAUGGCAAUGUAUUUCGAAUAAAACCUCCCAUGUGUUUCACCAAAGAUGAUGCAGGUAUCUUUUUUGUAAAUUUCUCAUUGAAACAAAUAAAAGCUACAUUUCGUGCACUGUGUGUUUUGAAAAUGAAAAUUUUUGGAGUUUCUGGAAGGAAAGAUAUGUUAUCAUUAUUAAUACUCCUUUUUUACCUCUCAUCUGCAGAUUUUCUUGUUGAUGCUUUGGACUAUUCCAUUUCAAAGCUGUAAAACUUAAAAGCUUUAAUGAGGUAAAGAAGUCAGACACAGUGUUUUUUCUUUUGUAUGUAACUUAAAAUAAAAUGUAGUUCUUGUGUGUAUGAGCGUCUCAAUUGUUCUAUUGUUCAUCAAUGUUAGAAAUCUUAUUGUACAAUGACUUUGAAACUUUUAAGAAUAAAAUGUAGUUUGUUUGUACAUCCAGCUACUACUUUUUCCUUUCUAAUUUAUACUUUUGUUAUUAUUAUUUUUCAAUCACAGUUUUGGUUUUGAGUUAAAUGUGAAGUUGAUGUCUCAAUAGCUUGUCACAUGACUGCUGAUUUUUUAGAUUUGUAGAUGUACCAAAUACCCCAUUGUAGGGCUAUUAGGAUGUUUUGUCCUUGCCAAUGAUUUAAUGCUUGAACAUGUUCUAUUCGUACACAUUUUAAAGUGCGAUUUAAUAUCAGUGUCUCAACCUAAUUCGUUGCUAUUCCAAACUAACAUUUGAGAAGAUUGAUUGGCGUCGAUAAACAGAGAGUUGAACUAUAUUAUUUGUGGAUAGUUCCUGCAUUGCACAAGGAGAGUGAUAUGAAUUGAUCAAACUAUUAUUUAUGUUUUAUUUAGUAAUUGAUGUAAUCUUCAUAUUUUCAUAUUAUCUUUUUAUGACAUAUUAAGUAGGGGUAGUUUUCUCUUUUUCACUAUGAUCUAAGAUGUGGCAUUAGCGUUUUUAUUGAUAGGUCAUUUAAAGCCUUGCUAUUAGGUUGUUUACUCAAAUUAGGACGAAUUAAUUUUGACCUUUGACCUUUGUUCUUGAAUUUUGCAAUUAUGUGUAGAGUUGUUUGUCAAAAGCAUUUAAGUAAGGUUGGUCAUUCUUUGUUUCAAAUCUUGGAUUAAGUAACUCUUUUUUUUUUGUCUCAAGAGCUUGAAAUCAAACUAAAUUGUGGGUUUUAAUGCUUGAGAGUUGGGGGUUUCACAUAUUCAAAGGGUAUUCAAUUCCAAUUUACAUGUGUUUCCAGAGAAGGCUUAAAAAUUAUUUGAAUUUGAGCUAUGACAUAAAUGAUUGGGCACAUGUCUUGUUAAGAUAAUUCUUGCUUACUCGUUUUUAGCUUUGUUGAAAAGAAAUCAACUAGUUCAUGUGUAUGAGUUUUUAAAGGAAAUGGAUAUUGUGCGUAUCUCAAUAACUCUACGGGGCCGUUUGACCCAUAGACUAAAAGAGUGGUAGCUCAACCCAUGUUUGCUCUAAAGAUUAUCACAAUCUUAGGAUUAUGACUAUUCUACCUUUUUUUUUCUUAUUCUCCUAUUCCUCAUUUCCUCAUUUCCUCCUGUCACUAUUCCUCAUUUCCUCCUUUCACUAUCUCAUUUACUCCUUUCACUAUUCCUCACCUCUCAUCUCUCAUAUAUGUCACUAUUUCUCAUUCCUUUGUUUCACUAUUUCUUACUUCUCCAAACAUAAAUUAUAAUAAUUCAAACUAUAAUAAUCUGCAUCUCAAACACAUAUUAUAAUAACUCAUAAAUUAUUAUAACCAAUAGACUAUAAUAACUAUAGAUUAUAGUAACUCACUCUACGUCCCAAAUGCUCCAUGUAUGUGACUUACUUCGAGCUUUGAAAUGUUAAUAUUUUUUUGGGUAAUAUCUCUUCUAUCGUUGUUUCAAUUAAGAAAUAUUUGUAUAAUUGUUUCACGUGGAGGAUUUUCUGACAAAAUCAUCGCUUAGAUUUGACUACUAUCACUCUUGUUGAGAGAUGUUGAUAUUUUUUCUUUUAUGCAACUUGACUUAUGUGUGUGAACCUUUUUCUCAAUUUAAGUGACACAACCACGAAAACAUUAAAUUGCUCUAAAUUGUAUGAUUUCAUUUAUUAGAAAAGUUAUUCAGGUUAAGGAAUCCUUCUUUACACCAAUUGCAAUAUCUCAUUAAUUAUUAGACUCAUAUUAGUGUGGUUCAGAUCAAACAAAUUUUUCUUGAACUUGCUGUUCUUUCAUUAGUUAAUUUGCUUUGUUUGGUGGUUUCGCUAACUCUUUGAAAACAAAGAAAAAAUCAAAUUGUCUCAUUAUUCAUCAGCAAAGACCAAGUAUUCACUCCAUAACUUGAUUAGAUUUGAAUUCAAGUAGCUUAAAGUGUCGUUUGCAGGUUCUGGAAUGGAUCAUUCUAGUGUCAUGAAUGUAUUUUUUGAUAGCCAGUCAAUUACAUAUUUUGCUUGAAAUCUAGUUUUUCAUGAAUGCACAAAAUGUGAUGUCCACAACAACAUAAUUGUUGGAUUUCGUAUUUCUAAGAAUUAAAGAUCAAUUUGUAGACAUCUUUACGAAGGCAUUAGAGAAACAACAUUUUUUUGUAUCUUCAUUGUCACAAGUUGGAGAAUUGUGAUCCUCAUUUACGAACACCUCGAGGAGCAUAAGAAUGCAUUUUAAUUUUAGUUCAAAAUUAGGGUUGUAUUAAGGUAACAAAACUUUGUUGAUAGGUUCCAAUUUGAAUCAACUAAAGUAAACUAACUACUCCAUUCACUGUCAUUUAUAAAUGUCAUUCUUGUAAUCAGUUGAGUAGGAAAAAAAAAUUGCAUAUCACAAAAAUGUUCAACCUGAAGAUUGAUUAUAUUAACACUAAAUAGAUUAUAUUUAAGACAACUUGGCAAUACAAUAGAUUACAAAAAUCAAUUAUACUUACAAUUUUUUCUCUCGAUAAGAUUCUCAAUAUUUACAAAUGGGCGUGGUAGGACUUGCAAAAUGGUAUGGCUUUGCAUCCUUGAUUAUAAAUCUUAUACCAAUACAUUUCCACGACGCCUGCAUAUCCUUUUAGGAUAAUCAUGAAGCAACCUUGAGCUUGCCAAAUGUUGGAUAAUGAACUAUGCAGGCUCACAAGGACGAUUACCCCAAAGUGAGCUCAAUGCUCGGAGUCGUUGGAAAAACUCCCCCAGUGUAAGAAGGCCUUGAGCAGAUUGUCGAGUCGUUAGAAUUUUGUACAUCUGUUGCAAUGUUUCCUGUCGUAGAUGGUCAGCCUAUUUGGGCAUUAGAAAAGAGAGAAAAAUAAAAGAUGAUUGUUUCAUGAAAUGCUCAAGUCUGACUAAUUAUUUUUGGAUGUACCAAAUACGACGUAGUGAGGUUCUGAGCUAAGCCUAGCGCGCUAACACUUUUCAGAUAUUGAAAUAAUUCUUUGCUAAAAACAUCUAUGUAAAAUUAUAAUCAAGUUCUAACAUACAUGGUUUGGACUUGGGACAUGGAAGGUUAAAGUGACCUAGGAGAAAGUUAAUAAAAGAACACAUCAUAUCCAAGAAAUAUGUUACCUGAUUCACAAAGCUAACGAGCGCUUCUAAUCUCUCCAUUGCAGCAGUCAUCUGUAGGGGAUAACUUCCUUCACCUAGCUGACCAGCCACUACGCUCUCAAAUAGAUUUUGUUGUAGUUUUUCCAUACCUUGUCUAAGAGCAUCUUCUGCCUGUAGACACGAUUUUCUAAGGCUACCCGUUUCUGAAAUUUGUUGUUCGGUUAAUGUCUCCAGCUGAGGUAUCAAAACCUGCAUAUGACAUAACUUUGUGAAUGUCACCAAACUUUCAUGUAAAUCCACUUAGUACUCUCAUUCUUGAAUAUCGAAAGGCUUUCUGAAUUUCUUGACUUCAAAUAUUGUAGGAUCAAGGGAUGGUCGAGAACUGUGGACCUAAUAUAUACAUAGAAAUCAAGUGACUUUCUACGGUAUAAAAAAUGUCAAAAUGUGGGACUUGACCAUGAUUAUCAAGAAGCAUUCAAAGAAUACCUUAAAAUUUAUGCCUCUAACAUAGAUUUUCACUGCAAUACAAGAAAUAAACAAGAAUGCUGAGUAUAUCUAAUGCUCUAAUCUUCAUUUUUUCAAAGGGGUGGUCCACGAAGCUACGUACAAUAGUGAAUUAAGGUCUUUUUAAACCAUGUUUGUUAUUCAAACUAGACCUAAAGUCGUGUGUGAUUGGAAGAUUAACUCUUUUGUUAAUGUCAACAUUUUACCAUGACUCGCCACUCACGUUAAUAAGAACGUACCUUGAGAAGUUCUGAAGGGCGAAAUCCUCCUAUCCAUAAGAAAAGUCUUUCGGCGGAUGUCUUCCACAUGCCUGACAUUAUGUAAGAGACGUCGGCUUUUGCAGCCUUAGCUUUCAUGCGAAAAAAUUUAAAGUAAUGUCUCAUUGCAUUUUCCACGAGUAUUCGAAGCUCGAUAUCAGUAAUAUCAGCAUGCACAGCAGUCCUCAGAUCACAAAUCUGCCUGUUCUGCUCUUCCACCCAUUGCUCAUACUCUGAUUCAAAUGCGAAGAUGCCUACAAAACAAACAGUGAGGAUAUAUUCAGAAGAUAAGAACGACAGAGAUUAAGGUAGAUUGCAAGUAAGAAGAAGAAAGUUGGUAAGAAAUUUAGGUAAACAGGUCAUAACUUUAGUCAAUGAGGCUUCUGAAGUGAAUUUGCAGAUGUAUACAAAUAGACAAAAAGAGUUGUAUGUGAAAUAGACAAAUUCAUAAAUAUUCUUCUUUUUACAACUUCUCCAGCAUUUUUGUUAUGUUUUUGUUUCCAUAACUGGGGUAUUUGGAUCUCACUCCUCGCAUUAAAGCUUAACAAUUCUGCCCUUCAACCCUCAACAACUUGCUCAAAAUAUGUUAGUGAAAAAUAGUAAUAGUUUUAAAGCAUUUAAAAAGUCAUUCCAUACAGACUAAGUUUUCAAUUUGGAAACUUCAACUUAAUACUUUGGAGGACACAUCCAAAAAUACUCGAACUCUGAAAACCAAGGCAUUCUACAUCCCUAGCAUUUCAAGCACCAAAUCUUUUUCAUCAUACCAUAUAUCUACAAGAAGUUCUAUGUCAAACAAGACGUGAUGCCGUACAAAACAUGUCAUCCUUGAGGAAAAUUAUCAAAAGUGGUAAGGAAGACCAGUCAAUCUUGAUCUGAAAAAUGAAUAGUAUAAAGCAAAAAAGGAUCAAAAUGCCUUUUGUUAAAGCAGUUGAUGAAACAUGGAACCACAUUUAAUGGGAGAGACCGCCUUUAGCACCACACAUCAAUAAGUUGGAUAAUCUUUACGUCUAGGACUCAAAAACGUUCGGAGACAUCCUAAACUUUACAUUUUACGAUGACCCACAUGUUGGGUUAAGAUUUUGGAUGUUCAUAGUUGACAAUUCAACAAACACUGGACCUGCAAAAAUUUUAGUCACUAAUCAUUUCCCCUAAAUUGAACCUCUCAAACAAAUUUCACAUCUCGUAGCUUUCAAAUUCCCAUCUUUCAGUUAUCAAACAACCAAAACCAAGCAAUAAAAGGAUCUACACUAUUGACAAGACAUUGAAACAUCAAAGUUAAAGAAAAGGGUAAAAACAAAGAACGAUUGGCCAGCAGAAAACCAACCUGAAUUUGUGGUUCCUGAUAAACCCAAUUGGUUAUUAUCAAAUCGGGAUCCAGCCAAGAGACCCUGAAGAAAAAGACAGGGCGAGAGAUUAAAUUAGAGGAAAAGAAAUGAAACCCAUUCAUAAUGUUCCGUAAAAAGUUGAAUGCAGGUUUAAAACAAAAAGAAUCAAUUCGAAGGAAUUAUCGUUCGUACUUGUUGUCUUGCCUUUUCAAGUUCUUGCUCCAAUUGAAUGAGCUUUAUGCGGCUUGUUUCCAAUUGCUUAAUAUAAGCCUACAAUUUUGCAAAUGGGGUUUGAAUUAGUAGUCUAUUAACACUGUUUUUUUUUUUUCUCUAUUAUUUAUUGCAAUUGAAACUUUGAAAUUGAAUGCUACAAUUUUGAAUUUUGGUUGGUACCUUUUUCCGUAGGCGACUUUUGCGAGCUGCUUCCCGAUUUUGUGCCAGCCUUCUUUGAAUCUGCAAUUGAUGGAGUUUUCAGUAUAUUUGUUCUCCUUCCUCAUGGAGGGAAGAAAAAAAAAAACUUCAAAAUUUCACUUAUCAGUUUUGUUCGGUAUUUUCCACAAAUUUGAAAUCUCUCAAUAUUUUUUUCUUAAAAAACCAUUUUAUUAUUUAUGCAAUUCUUUUUUGGUAAUGAUUUAUUUUAUAUAUAUAUAUACUUAAAAAAUGUGCUUCUUUCUUUUCUAAAAAAUAAAAAAUUGUAAAAACUAAUUUUUAUGUCCAGGAUAUUUUUGGUUUUUAAUUUUUUAGAAUGAAGUCUAUAAACACAAAUUUCAUACUUAAAUCUAAUUAUUUUGUUAUCUCAGGUUUUCUAAAAUUAAACCUAAAUUGAAAAAUAUGUUUUUCUUUUAACUAGUUAAAAAUUCAGAGAAACUUUUAAAAAUAAAAAAAAAUUAAAUAAUUACUAAACAAGUAGUCACUGAAACUUUGUAUGACGAAUUUUGAAGAUAUAAAUAAAAAGUCGUUUCAAUACUUAAUUUUAAAAAGUCAAACAAUGGUUAUCCCUUUCAUUUUCUUUUUUUUUUCUCUAUCUAUAAAUUAUAAUAAGUUGAAUUAUUUCUUUUUCAGAACAAUUCGAGUAAGAAAUUUAAACUAUAUAUAUACCUCAUGGUUGUUAACUUAUAUCUUCAACUAAAAUAUCAUUUUCAAAACCUAUGCUCAUAUAUUUUAGAUUAAAAGGGUAUGUUAAAAGUUUAAUCAAAGUUUAUAAACUUUAUAGAGUAUUUAUUAAGUUACCUAUUUUAUUUAUUUAUGUUUAAAAUUUAACAGUGAAAUUCAAAUAUUCAAAUAUUGAAAACGUAGAAAUUUAUUUUAAAGUUAAAUUAUUGGAAGUACAAUGUUUUGAUCGUACCUUAUCAAUUCGUUUGGUAUCAUCUUGGUCAUAUACGUGAGGAUCUCCAAGUGAGCCAAGUGAAGCAUCAUCUGACUAAAGAAAGUUAAAAUGACAAAGAUUUCAAUUUCAUUCCAUAAAACAAAAACAUUAUCAAAUAAAUUAACAAAAAAUAAAAUAAAAUAAAAUAAAAUUAUGGAACAUGUACUUUUUAAGAAAACGAAAACAUUAUCAAAAGAGUCACCUGAUUUUCUAAUUUGGGAUCAGCUUCGAUGAUAAAAGAGGAGGGUGGAUCUAAAUUGGCAUUGGCUCUAAAAGUUUCACCCCACAUUCCAAUAUGGUGGAUAGGUUCAUAGAGUCCCAUCCUUCCUGGAUUGUAAAAUUUAGUGGAUGAUGAGUUCAUCCUUUCUCUUCUUCACACCUAACCCUUUUUAAUUAACAUUAUAUCAAACAUAAAUUAACAAUUUCUAUUACAAUAAUACUCAAUCAUGUUAUGCAUCAAUUCAUAUUAUAUUCCUAAAAAAUUAAAACAGUUUUGUUUUUAUAUUACAAAGUCAAAACAUAGAAAUGCUAUAAUUAAUUAACAUAUAUAAAAAAAAUGAUGGAGUUGAAAUCUAAAUUAGCGAAUUCAAUUGUAAUUUUACUUAAUUUCUAAAAUUGAUAAAAAAAAAGAAGAAGAAGAGGAAGAAGAAGGAGACUGUGUAUUUUAAAAGAAAUUGCCCAUUGUUAAUUGUUUUUCAAUUAAUGAUUUCAAAAAUCAAAUUCUUGUCUUUGAAAAUUAAACUCUCAAUCAUUGCAUUGUAAUAGUCCACAGAGAUGAUAUAUUUGUUUUUUCUUUUCUUCUUUUUAAUUUUUUUUGGCUUGUAAUAUUAUUUUUUGAAAAAUUAUGAAAUAUUUUUCGAAUUUCUAAAAAAUAAAUAGAAAAAAUAGAAGAUAUAUAGCUCAAUAAUUGAUAUGUACUUUGUUUUGAAAGUUAUAGACUUAAAUAAAAAUAAAACAACUAAAAUAAUUACACAGAGUGAUAAUUUUAUUGAAAGAAAAUUAAAACCUCAAUAAUCAAUCCAUCCAUAACUACAUAAUCAAAUAAAAUUCUAUAUAAUUUGUAAUUUCAUCAAAUCAAAACACAAUAACAUUUCAAAUAUCUGUUUCUUUUUUUCUUUAAAAAGAACAUUUCAAAUUAAAUAUCCAUUUCAAGGUUAAGAUGGACUCAGGAGAUAGAAAAAGAAGAAGAUUGGGACAGACAAAUUAAUCAUAUAAUAUGAUGAAAUUAAUUGCAAUAAAAACAAAAGAGAAAUAAUUAUGAUUAUAGUUCUGAAAAAUGAAGUAAUAUACAAUAAUAAAAUAAUGCAAUAAAACUAAGCUGGCAGUAAUAAUCUUUUCAAAAAUUAAAAGAAAGAAAACAAAACCCCACAUAUUAUUCUUGGACAAGUGGGAAAAAGUUAACCAUCAAACGAUUCAAAGAACAAACGAAAGAAUUUCCCAGAAACUUCAAACUCAAAACCAUUAACCAAAUCUUACAAAAAAACUACUAAUACUUAAUAGAUAAAACUAUCAGUUUUAUAUUUGGAAAGCUCUUUCCAAUCAACAUAAAUUGGAUCGAAAAGUAAUAAAAACCGAAUGGAAAAGUGAAGAAGAUGAAGUAGUUGAUUGAAAUUCAGUCGUAACAAUCACGAAAGUUGAAAUAAACUGGAACACGUAGAUCAAUAGAAGAGAGAGGAUAGAAGAACACACCUGGAAGUGAAUAAGAAGAAGAAGAAGAAGAAGAAGAAGAAGAAGAAGAAGAAGAAGAAGAAGAAGCAGAUUGGAUUGGAAAAAGGAGUGUAGUUUGGAUAUAAUAAUUAGUUGGAUCAAACAUAAACAUCCCCUAAGAGAGCAAAAAAAGGGGGCUUCAAAGUCAGUUGGUUUCUUCUUUUUGAUCAAAUUAAACUUGUAUUUUUUUUGCUCCCACCAUCUUAAUUAAACUGCCCCCCCUCUUCCUUUUUUUCUUUUCUUUUCAGCCCUUUUUGUCUUCCUUACUCUCUCUGUUUAUUUUAUUUAUUUUGUACCCUUAUUUGUUUCUCUUUCUCUCCUAUUGGUUUUUUCUUUGUCAUCUCUCUCUCUCUCUCUCUCUCUCUCUUAAAUGAAUAAUAUUUGUUUAUUUUAAAAUGGAAUGUGGGCUUAGUUUUGAAAUGGGUCAAGGCUAAAUAUGAUUGCAAUUUCAUGGCUGUGGUUUUUUGAAGCAUAGGGAUCUCUUUGCAAAUUAUUAUUAGUUUUGGUUUUAAUUUUGUGAUGUCAUUUUUCUUUUCAUGUGGUUUUUUCAAUAUAUGGUUGUGAUUAAAGUUGCCAAUCUUUCUCUCUUAUUAUUAUUUUUAUUUUAUAUAGUACUUGAUGAUGAUGAUGAUAUAAUCAAUGUCUCUGAUUAGGGAAAAAAAAUUUAAUUAUUUUUAUGAAUAUAAAAACUUAUCCUUAUCUGAUUGAUGUUAAUAGAUUUGUUUUGUUAUUUCAAAGUUUCAAAUUAAAUAACCAAUAGAAUGGAAAUUCUACAUGGAUCCCUUCUUCCUUUUUAGAAUUUUUGUGUCGUUUUGUUGUGGUAGUUUAAAUGGGGCUUCUUUCUUUCAUGACCUAUGUAACCUUUUCUCCAUUUGGAUUCAUUAUUUUGUUUUCUUUUUCUCUCUUUUAAGUUAAAUUAAAAAAAAAAUCGUCAAAAUUGUUGGAAUGACUUUCAAAUAUUUAAUUUUAAAAAUGGUGAAAAUAGAGUUUUUUUUUUUUCUUUUGCAAUUUUCCCUUAAAAAUUUAAGUGUAGUUUUAAUAAUCAUGCUUAAAAUAUAAACACUUUAAUUCACUAGAGAAAAAAAAAUAUAUUUCUUUAAAAAGUCAUUUUUAUCUAAUAAAUCUAAUAGAAACGGUUAAAAAUAAAAUCUAAAGUAUUUCCAAAGCUUUUUAUUAUUUUAUUAUUUUUUAUUGUUAGACAUUUGAUUAUUCUUUAAAUAACUUUUUUAAAAUUAAAAUAUUAAGGAAACGCACCUUUAAUUUAAUAAUUAAAAAUGAUUUAAUUUUUAAAAAUAAUUUUUCAUGAAACUAUCUAAAUAUUUUCUAAAUAUAUAUAUAUAUAUAUAUAUUAUAUAUAUAUAUAUAAAAAUAUAAACUUGUUUACCAUUUGUAGUAUAACUCAUCAUCCCUAGAGAAACAACAUGCUUAGUUUCAAGAGGAACAGAGUCCCCAAUUAUAUUCGUUUUACGUUUUUUUCAAUUAUUUAAUUAUUUAGUGAUUAUUGUUUUUUGUUUUUUUUGUAAAGUUAUGAAAGAAUUUGGGGAAUGUCUAUUUGGUGAUUGGGGCCAACCAAUUUCCCAAAUAGCAUCUCCCACUUCCAUGGUUGCCAUGUAGUGUUUUCAUGAAGAGACAUCCAAGUGCUACCUAUAUAUAUAUAUAUAUAUAUAUAUUAUUUUUAUAAAACACUGUUAAAAUUCAUUCUUUAUUUCAACCCACUUAAUUUUCUACUUCUUUUUAGAUAUUACAGAUCUAAUUAAUUCAUAUUCCCAUAUCCUACAUAUUAUAUAUAAAAUGUUCCACACAAUCAAUUUUGGUCAAUGUAUAUAGGCUUUAAUCUAACUUUUCUAGAGUUGUAAUUUAAAAAUAAAAAAUUAUGUUACACGAUAUAUACUAAUAAUCAUAUGGCUUAAAAUUUUCAAAACUAUUUAAAAAAGUAAAGUUUUAAAUUGAUUGUAGUGUUUUUAUUAGCCUUGUUUGAUUGCAAUUGUUAUCUAGAACAACUUAAGUGAUUCUUCACACGGAAAAACGAGUAGGAAACGAAGUGGUGGAUAAUGUAUUAAAGAAAAGAUGGGAUAAGCAUAAAAAGGAAAAAAUAAAUGAAUAAUUAGGCAUGAUGGAGGAAUUGUAUGUGUGUAUAAAGUAAAGGAAAGAAAGUGGGAGGCAAUUGGGAUUUAUUUAAUGUAGGUUGGGUUGGGUGAUUGGAUUCCAUAUUGGUUUAUAUAUAUAUAUAUAUAUAUAUAUAAUAUAAUUUAUUCUAUGCUUAUUCAAAUUUGUAUGGAAUGUCACCAAUUUCAUCUUCUUUGUUAUUACUUCUCUAAGUGGGUUUCUAAAGUGCUUUCCCACUUACAAUGGCUUCUCUCUCUCUCUCUCUCUCUCUUUCUUAGAUUCAUUAACAAGAAUGAGAAUUUAGAUUCCAUGUCACUUCUCAACUUGCCCUAUGAUGCUAUUUUCUUUUUCUUCAUUUUCAAACCAUUUAUUAAAUUAAUUGUUGUAGAUAUGUCUAUUUUAUGAUCAUUUGAUUUUAAGCGUUCUAUAUUAGUACAAUAAUGACAACAAUUUUUUUCCAUGAAUAGCCUAGUAUCUUAUAUUAUUACAUAAAACUCCGUCUCAAAAGUUCAUAAUACCUAAUUUGAUUUAUAGUAUUUUCUAUUGGAAAAUAGAAAGAGAAACAAAUAUGGAAAAAUUGGGAAGCAAUGCGUCUUAAAAUAGUUUUUUCUUUUCAAAAUUUUCAUAACUUUUAAGCAAAAUUGCAUUCCCAUUGGGUUUUUUUGUCCAAUAAUUUUUUAAUGUUGACUUAAAAUUCAAAAUCGUCUUAUUUGGUGAGUUGGAAUUUUUUGAUUUCAGAUAUAUAUCAGAUUUAUUUCAAAUAAUACAUACAAGGUUUAUUUCAAAUAUAUUUAGAACAAUUACAGAUUUAAGGUUAUUAUAUAAUGUAUAUCAAUACCAUAUUCUAUAGUUUUUGUCUUCAUUCUACUUAAGAUAUAUAUUUCACUUUAUCACAUGUAUUUAAUAUAUUUAGUCAUUUUGCAAAUAUAUACUACAUUUUAUAUAAUAAUAAUAUUAGAGCAAAUUGUAAAAAUCAACGUUAAAACAUGAUAAUUGAAUUUCAAAAUUUAAGAGAUAAAUAUUAUUUAAGUCAAGGAAUAAAAUAAUACUCAUAAAACCAUAAACCAAAUAUUCAUUACAAGAUAUAGUAUUAAAUAUUGUUAAUUCAAUUUUAAUAUAUAAUAAAGUUUUAUUGCAAUUAAAUGUUAAGGAUUUUAAAACUUUAAUAAGGGAUAUAAUAAGUAUUAAGGUUAAAUUUCUCUAAAAUUAUGUCAAAAUGUAGAUAUGAAACAUAUUACAAUAUUAGGAAACUUAUCAAAUAUCAAGUUUAUUUUUUCUCAAAUUCCCUGGGGUACUUUGUAUACUUCUUAAAUUCUUAGCUAAGUUUUAAAAACUAUUUAUUCUAUAUAUUUCAAAUAUUUUGAUUGAAAAUUUUACACAUUAAUAAAUAGUAGAUAACAAAUGUCUAGUUAGUAAAUUUUUCUUUUUAGCUUUUGAAAAUUAAGUUUACCUUCUCACAUUUUCUUAUUUUUCAAGCAUAAGAAUCCAAUAAAGUUUCAAAAUUAUUUUUUGAUUAUAAAAAUUUAAAGUGAAAGAUGUAUUUGUAAUUUAAUUGAAAAAAGAAAAAAAUAAUAAUGACUAAAGAUAAAGUUAAGUUUAGUCUUUAUAUUUAUUAGGAAAAAAAGUCAGUCAUGUUUACUUUAAUUCUAACAAGAAUACUAAACGUAUACGAUUUAACUAUUGAGAUGAAAGUAUUGAAUUGUAAUAACACAAAAUAUAUUAAUUAAAAGGUAAGAAGAUUCUAAUUGUUUUCUUUUAAAUUUUUUUUUUGACAUGUUCAGAUUAAUUGAAUAUAUGAACUAUUUAAUUCAGUUCAUGAAUGAUACUUUGAUAUUUAAUUGAUAGUCUUUAUAUUUAAGUUUGUUAAUUUUAGUUAUUGUUAUUGCAUUAAUCUUAAAUUUAUUUAUUUAUUUAAAUCUUAUUUCUUUAUCAAAUCGGAUAAACAGUAAUAAUAUUUUUUUUUAGAAAAACGAAUAUAUUAAUAUUUGUAUUGAGUCUAUUGAUAAGAUUAUAUUAAUCUCUUUAUUAUAUAUAUACAAUGUGAUAUAUACUUGUUCCUAUCGAAUAAUUUUCCAAAAAAGAAAUAAUAUAACUAAACUUAAACUACACUAAUUUAAAAUGUCAAAAAGGGAAAAAAAGAGUGUGUAAAACACAUUUAAAAUGGGAACUUAUUAAAGUAAGAUUGAUACAAUUAUGCCUUGAUGUGAAGAAGGCAUUGGCUAAUGAAUAUAUUCUCAUUUCCAUGGUGAUGUAGUUAAAGUAUUAUUUUGUUCUUUAAAAAAAACAAUACCAAUUUUAACUAAUUCUUCAACGUUGUAGCAUCCAAAAAUGUUCAAAAUAAGUAGUUCAAUUGAUAUUAUAUUUAUACUAUCGACUUUAAAGUCAAUGAUUCAAUUUCUCACUCUAUAUAUUAUAAAAAGAAAAUAAUAAUAAUAAUAAAACAAUCAAAUUAUAGAUUCUACAAAGAUUGAUCUAUAAAGAGAUUAUUAAAAAAAUGAAAAACAACCCUCUUUUUACAUUUAUGAGUUGGUUCAAUAUUUCUUUUUAAAAUUUUAAAUUAUUGCUAGAAGGAUGACUCAAAAUUAUAGAUCUUUUAUAUAGUAAUAUAGUAAUGUUUUGAAUUAUUAAAUUCACUUUUAGAUUUUUUUUCUUUAGAAAAGAGAUAUAAGAAAAUAUAUAUCCUAUGCUAAAUUAGAAAACUUUUAAAUCAUGAAACUGCAAAAUAAUUAACCACGUUAAAUUGUAAGCAAUAAAAUAUUAAUAUUCCCAAUAAUGUAGGAGAGAAAAAUGUCUGAAAGUCUAAGUUAUCCCAAUCUAAAUAAUAAAAUAAAACAAAAUGAUUACAAUUGGCCACAAUUUUCAAAAAAAGAAAACAAAGGAGUUGAUUAUUUAAAAAACUAAUUCAAAAUUAAAAUCAAACCAACAUAUUUAAAACAAUCUACAUUUAGUUAUAUAAUUUAAAAUAAAAGCCAAAAUUCUUACCUUCCAUUAUCUCUUUUUCCAUAUUAUAGAUUCGAAUAUAUCUUCAUCCGUCGUUAAAAGAGGAUUGUAAUGUUUACAAUAUAUAUAUAUAUAUAUAUAUAAUGAGAAUGAGAAUAAAAAGUUAUUUUUUUCUAUUAAAAAAAAGAAAAGGUUGAAAGGCUUAGGACAAGUAGGAAGCCAUAUAUAUAUAAAUAAAAAAGUAAUGAAGCUAAUUAUGUGAUUAAAAGAAGGGUAGAAUUGGGUUGGAACCAAUAAGGAAAUGAAACGUGGCAAAUGGGACCAUAAUUUAAAUAGGGAAAAAUAGUUGCCUAGGAGUUGUAAACUGAUAAUAUUGACGUGGUGUGGUUAAUUAAAUAAUGUUUAGGGCUUGGGGGCAAGAUUUGUUGUGUUAAGGGCUCGUUUUGAGACUUCGAAAAGCCAUUUGGACGUGACUAUUGGAAAAUGAAACCAAACAACUUUUAAAUAUUAUUUAUUAUUCCACACUUUACUUUUUUUAUUUCUCAGAUGGAUCUCAACUUUUCAUACCUUUUUCUUUAUAUAUAUAUAAAAAAUACUUACCAUCUAAUUUUAUUUUCUUUCAAAUCAUAUACGUGUAUAUGUUAGACAUCCUUUUUUUCGUUCUAUUCCUCUUAUUUUUGUUAUUUGAUUCUGUUUACUAAAAUAUUCAGAUCGACUGAACUAAAAUUCUUAAAAUCUCUAUUUAUAUUUAAAGAUAUCGUAUUCUAAACUUUGAGCUGUAUUGCUAUUUGGUCUACAUUCUUAGUUGCAUUUACAAAAUGCUUAUAUGGUAUGAUUGCUAUAAUGAAAAAUAGAUAGCUGUGUAUGCUUAAACCAUGUUUGUUUUACAAGUAAUUUAAGUAAUGGUUGAAUUUGAAAGGGAAGAAAAAAAAAUACACAUUCAAUUAAAUUAAAAAAGAACAAAUCUUAACAGAGAAAAUAUCUUAUUUAUGAAAUAUUAUAAGAGAUCACAAAUCUAAAUAAUAAUAAUGAUGAUGAUUUGAGUACUUUUAUGAAUUAUUAUAAUUUUUAUCCAUUUAUUUCUUAAGUAUUAAUUGAUGUCAGAGAGUAAUAUUAUAGAAAUUGAUAGCUGUAUGAGUAUGAAUAUAAGUAAGUAUUUUUUGUAGACUUGAGUGAAACGUUGAAAAAGCAAAUCAAAAUUUAUUAUAACCCACCAAUAAAACAUGACAUUUCAAAUAAAUCUAAUUGAUGGAUGAAAUUAAUGCUCUACUAUUGUAACACCACUUUCUAUAACUUGUUUUCUUUUUAUCAACAAUAUAAUAUAGUUUCUUGUUAAUCUAAAAUGAUGAAUGUGACAAUUAAUUUAAUUAUAGGGUGACAUCAUUGUUCUUCUUUUUAAAAAAGUUUGCAGAGUUAGGAUAUCAAAAUGGUCCUAUUUCUUAUUUCAAGAUUUUGAAUCAAUAAAUUAUUAAUAAUACACAAAUUGAAUUGAAUUAGGUGACUAAUAUUUUAAAAAUCAAAAUUUAUGGGCUUCUAAGAAUAUUAAAUUUUAAUUAAUCAAAUGAUUAAUGUUGAUAAUUUAUGAGGAGCGGUCACUUUUACCAUUUACACUUCUAUAAACUAUUGUUGAAUUUUUGAUGAAGUGAUAUCUUCAUUUAAAAUAUAACUACAAUGAACUUUGUUGAUAUACUCUUAUUUUGAGGUACAAUUCACCAACUGUGGAAAUAAUAAUCAUGAAAAUAGUUGUACAUGUACAUUGCAUCCAUUUUUAAAUAUUAUGAAACUUAUUUUUUUUUAAAAAAAAUUAUGCAGUACAUAGUUAUGUUGAACCAACGAACUGAUCGAGUUUGUGAAAACAUUGAAAACAUUUCUAUAUUGGACUUUUACAAAAAAAUGAUGACAACCAUUUAAAAAGGUAUGAAUUUUUUUAUUUUUUUGAAAAAAUUAAAGAUGAUUAUUAUGCAAAAUCCAAUCCUAUAUAGGUUAAAGAAAUUUAUAUUUAUAACACUUUACAUUAGAAAUAUUUCUUUGAAGAUGGUUUUUAAACUAAUCAAUUUUUAGAUUUCUUUUUGAUAUCAUUUAUAUACAAACUUUAUUGAACACAAUUUCAUUUAAUUAAUUCUUUUUUUGUAAGUGUUCAUACAAAAGUUAAUCAUGUUUUCGCAAAGCUACUCUAAAUAUGUUUUUAUUUUUUAUUUUUUGAAUUAUAAAUUAUUGCAAACAUGCUUGCAAUCUAUUAUUUAUAUAUAUAUAUCUCGGACGUUAGACUUUGCUUGAUUGAUUCAAUUUUUAUUUUUUAUUUGCCUAGAUAAAAAUUGAUUGAAUUAAAUUCUUAAUUAGAAAAAUGAGAAGUUGUAGGUAUAUUUCAACUGCAUAUAAGAGGAAUGAUAUUUGGUUGUAUUUUGGAUAAAAUUGAAAUCAUAUUAAUGUGCCCUAAAUACUUUGGGGCCGGGUUUGAGGUAUAUUGUUUAUGAUUAAAUUUGUGAUGAGUGUUUUGAAUUCUAUAAUUGACUCAAUGCACUCUCUGUUAAAUUAACCACACAUUCUUUCUUUCUUUUAUAUUUUUUUACAACGUAAAACUAUUUUGAAAUAAUUAGUAUUGUUAUUGCUUUUGGUAAAGUAAAUUAACCACAUCAUGGAGAUUAAAGAUACAAGGGACUUCCGUAAAAGAGGAGUAGUUCAAAAAGGAAUGUUUUCAACAAUUAUUUGUUCGUGAAAGAAUAAAAUUAACAUCGACCUUGACCUUUGAGUUUUCACGUUUGUUACACACUUUAGGCUGUAUAUGCUUUCAUUUUUUAUUCUCCUUUAAUUUGAGACAUCAUUUUUAGUCAACACAACCAUUUUAUUUGAUGUCAUGACCCUUUCUUCCUCUGCUUGUAUUUAGAGAACAAACAAACAUGCACGGGCCACUUGUUACAAAUAGAGAGAGAGAGAGUGAGAGAAAACCCUACUUUUGCUAAAUAAUCUAAAUUUAACAACUAAAAUUGCUAUAAAAUGGUCUUCUCCUUUCCUCACACCAUAAAGCCCAUAACAAAAAAAAAAAAAGACUUACAGAAAGCUAAAACUAAAAAAUGGCAAAAAACAUUAUGGUUGUUUUCUUUAUGUGCAUUGUUGUGAUGGGAUCACUACAAUUCUCCAAGGCACAGACGACCGCUAACAUGAGCCCAGAUCUUCAGGCGGCCGAGAAGAUCAAAAGUAUCACCGAAGGAAUGAAACUAUGGCCUCAAAUGGAAUCAUGUGUACUAACAUGCAGGAAAGAAUGUGAUGCAAAAGGCGAUGCCAAUGCUUCAUGUCAUCAGAAAUGCAACAAUGAUUGCACGGAAAAGACUAUUGGUAUUUUCUUCAAUCUCAACAGAAAUGUUUGUUUUCUUUAAGACAAUAAUUAAUUUUUUAAGUGAGAUAAAUUUUAGUUGCAAGGCAAAAUUUAACCUUUAUUCAUGAAAUUAGUGGGUUUGAUAAGAUUCGCAUUCCUUACUUUAAUAGUUUUGAUGCUAGAAAUUGAGGGAAUCGUAGAGUCGAAAUUUUAGAAUGAAAACUCAUCCAAAAAAAAUUUGAUUGUUUAUUUCUUUCAACUUAAUGUUUUUUUUUUUUUGUUAAUUUGAUUUUUUAUUCAUUUGUUUUGCAGCAUCAGUCAAGAACUAACUUCCCAUUGAUAAUUGACCAUGGAAUUAUUAAAGCAGAGAUCGGGAAAAUGAUCGGAUCAAGUAUAAAUUAUUUGAAUAAUUAGCAUUUCAACAAGGAAAAUCUAAAUUCCUUGACCCUCUUGUCGUCCAAUUUUAUUGCUUAUUUAUACAAAGGUUUUAUCCUUACAUAUCGUUGUGUGCUUCUUUCAUAAUUGUUGUCAACAACGAGAUCAAUAAAAUUCAUUUAGUUUAAGUGUUUAUUCACGUAACCUUUCUAUCAUUUUACAUUUAUUAUAUAAUCCUAACGUAUAGAAGAAAUUUUAUAAAUAUAUUACAGUACUAUUCAAGUUGCGAGUUCUUUUGUCACAUGUGUUUGUUUAAUAUUCAUUUGUAGUUUUUGAUAUAUUAUUAAAGUGAUAUGAUAUGUUCUACUGCUUUUAUUUUAAUUACAAUUUCAACAGAAGUUUAUAAUUUUCAAUUGGUAUUUCAUAGCCUUUGGAUUGGAAAAAAAAAUAAAGAGAAAAUUGGAGACGGGGAGAUGGGUUGAGAAAAUUAGGAAAUUGGUGAAGAACAUAUGAAGGGAGAAAUUGAUUAAAGAAACAAAAAAAAUGUUAUUAGGUAAACAUCCAUUGAAAUUUAUUCUUAAUUACAUGAAGAUUCAUUUUUAUUUUAAUCAUGAUUGAUACAAAUUUCCAUUCUAUUCUAAUCGUGAUUGUUUCGUUCUCCUCUAUUUUUAUUUCAAAAGUAAAAUAAAAAAUUCAUUUCUUGUAUUUGACACUUUGAUUAAAAUUAAUUAAUCUUUGUUAGCUUCAAUUUUAAUACAACCAAAGUUUUUAGCUUUAAAAAAUUCAUUACAAAUGAGGCUCCAGUGCAUAUACAUCACUUUGUAUUAGAAAUCUUCUUCGUAUAUAUAAAACAAAACAAACACUAUUGAAAAUUGUUGUGAAUAAUAUUCAUAUGAAUUAUACUUCAAAACCUCAUGCAAACUUCUGAUUUUAGUUACCAAAUUAUAAACCUUACAAUUCUCCUUUUCUUAGGCUUAUACUUAAUUCCCAAAUCUCUCCUAUAGAUGAGACUAAAGUACACUGGCACAUCAAAGAUUGAGUUUCAAUUUUAGGUACAAUCGGAUAACUAACUGAGAAUCCGACUUUGAGAUAUUCCAUUUAUUUAGAGGAAAAUUUGUUGCAAUUUCGUCCAAGAAAAUAAAUCUCAAAUAUAUUCGUCAUUCACACGAAUACCUCUAGGAUGAUCACGUUUUGUUAGAUCAUAGGGGAUAAUUAAUUUUUGUUGGUUUAUUUAUUUAUCUAUUAUAAAACAUCCGCCUCCAUCAUAAAUUUAGAAUGGUGCCAAAAGUCACGAAAGUUCACAUCUAACUACUGGGUGGCCUCAUUUUGAGAGUUAUUAAGAUUUAUUGCCCAUAAAUGCGGAAGAAAAUAUACCAGAGAGUCAGUUUUUAUUUUCAUCCCAAAACGUUGAAGAAAAGGUCAAUGCUAUAGUCUGCGAAGAAAUGACCCAAUCUAGAAUGGUGCCAAAGGUCUCGAAAGUUCACAUCAAACUACUGGGUGGCCUCAUGUUGAGUGACAUUAUAGUUUCUUGCCAACAAAAGCCGAAAAAAUAUACCUGAGAGUCGGUUCUUAUUUUGGUCCCAAAACGUUUAAAACUGAGUCAAUGCUAUAGUCUGCGAAGAAAAGACCCAAUUUAGAACGAUGCCAAAGGUCUCGAAAGUUCACAUCUAACUACUGGGUGGUUUCAUCUUGAGUGACAUUAAAGUUUCUUGCCCAUAAAAGUCAAAGAAAAUAUGCCCGUAAGUUGAUUUUAAUUUUCGUCCCAAAACGUUGAAAAAAGGGCCAAUGCUACAUCCUGAGAAGAAAGGACCCGAUUUAGAACAGUGCCAUAGGUAUCAAAAGUUCACAUCUAACUACUGGGUGGUCUCAUCUUGAGUGACAUUAAAAUUUCUUGUCCAUAAAAGUCGAAGAAAAUAUGCCGUAAGUCGAUUUUUAAUUUCGUCCCAAAACGUUGAAAAAAGGGCCAAUGCUACAGCCUGAGAAGAAAGGACCCGAUUUAGAAGAGUGUCAUAGGUAUCAAAAGUUCGCAUCUAACUACUAGGUGGUCUCAUCUUGAGUGACAUUAAAGUUUCUUGUCCAUAAAAGUCGAAGAAAAUAUGCCCGCAAGUCGAUUUUUAUUUUCGUUCCAAAACGUUGAAAAAAUGGCCAAUGCUACAGCCUGAGAAGAAAGGACCCGAUUUAGAACAGUGUCAUAGGUAUCAAAAGUUCACAUCUAACUACUGGGUGGUCUCAUCUUGAGUGACAUUAAAGUUUCUUGCCCAUAAAAGCAUAAGAAAAUAUGCCUGAGAGUCGGUUUUUAAUUUCGUCCCAAAACGUUGAAAAAAGGGCCAAUGCCAAAAUCUGAGAAUAAAGGACCAACUUAGAACGGUGCCAAAGGUCUCGAGGGUUCACAUCAAAUUACUGGGUGGCCUCAUGUUGAGUGACAUUAUAGUUUCUUGCCAACAAAAGCCAAAAAAAUAUGCUUGAGAUUCGUUUCUUAUUUCGGUCCCAAAACGUUGAAAAAUGGGCCAAUGCUAUUGCCUACGAAGAAAGGACCCAAUUUAGAUCGGUGUCGAACGUCUCGAAAAUUCACAUCUACCUACUGGAUGAUCUCGUUUUGAGUGACAUUAAAGAUUCUUGCCCAUGAAAGCCGAAGAAAAUAUGCCGAGAGUCGGUUUUUAAUUUCGUCCCAAAAUGUUGACGAAAGGGCCAACGCUAUAACUUGCAAAGAAAUGACCCAAUUUACAACGUUGUCAAAGGUCUCGAAGGUUCACAUCUAACUACUGGGUGACCUCAUGUUGAGUGACAUUAAAGUUUCUUGCCCACAAAAGCCGAAAAAAAUAUGUCUGAGAGUCGAUUCUUAUUUUGGUCCUAAAACGUUGAAAAAUGGGCGAAUGUUAUAGCCUACGAAGAAAUGACCCAAUUUAGGACGGUGCCGAAGUCUCGAAAAUUCACAUCUAACUACUAGGUGAUAUCGUUUUAAGUGACAUUAAAGUUUCUUCCCACAAAAAGCCGAAAAAAAUAUGUUCGAGAGUCGACUUUUAUUUUAAUCCUGAAAUGUUGAAAUAGGAGCCAAUGCUAUAGCCUACGAGAAAAGGAUCCAAUUUAGAAUGAUGCCGAAGUUCUGGAAAAUUCAUAUUUAACUACCGUGGUCUCGUUUUGAGUGACAUUAAAGUUUCUUGGCCACAAAAGUAAAAAAAAAAAAAAAAAAGCCCGAGAGUCGGAUUUUACUUUCGUCCGAAAACGUUGAAAAAUGGGUCAGUGCUAUAACUGACGAAAAAAAGGACUCAAUUUAGAACGGUGCCAAAGGUCUAAAAAAUUCACAUCUAACUACUGGGUGGUCUCGUUUUGAGUGACAUUAAAGUUUCUUUCCCACAAAAGACAAAAAAAAAAAAAAAUGUCUAGGAUUCGAUUUUUACUUUAGUUCUAAAACGUUAUAAAAGGGGCGAAUACUAUAGCCUACGACGAAAGGACCCAAUUUAGAACGGUACCAAAGAUCUCGAAAAUUUACAUCUUAACUAUUGGGUGAUCUUGUUUUAAGUGACAUUAAAGUUUCUUGCCCCAAAAGUCGAAAAAAAAUAUGCCCGAGAGUCGGUUUUUACUUUCGUCCCUAAAACGUUGAAAAAUGGGCAAAUGCUAUAGCCUACGAAGAAAUGAUCCAAUUUAGAAUGGUGCUACAGGUCUGACAAAUUGAAUCUAACAACUGGUUGGUCUCAUUUUGAGUGACAUUAAAGUUUUUUGCCCACAAAAGUCGAAAAAAAAAUAUGUCCGAGAGUCGGUUUUCACUUUCAGCCAAAACAUUGAAAAAUGGGGCCAAUGCUAUAGUCUACCAGGAAAGGACUCAAUUUAGAACGGUGUCAAAGGUCUCAAAAAAUCACAUCUAACUACUGGAUGGUCUCGUUUUGAGUGAGAUUAAAGUUUUUUGCCCACAAAAGCCGUAAAAAAAUAUGCCAGAGAGUCGAUUAUUACUUUCGUCCCAAAACAUUGAAAAAAGGGCAACGUUAUAGCCUGCGAAGAGAGGACCCAAUUUCGAACGGUGUCAAAAGUCUCCAAGGUUUACAUCUAACAACUGGGUGGCCUCAUGUUGAGUGACAUUAAAGUUUCUUGUGUACAAAAGUCGAAAAAAAAUAUGUCUGAGAGUCGGUUCUCAUUUUGGUUCCAAAACGUUGAAAAAAGUGUCAAUGCUAUAGCCUACGAAGAAAAGAUCCAAUUUAGAACGGUGCCGAAGGUCUCAAAAAUUCACAUCUAACUACUCGGUGGUCUCGUUUUAAGUGACAUUAAAGUUCUUUGUCCACAAAAGCCGAAAAAAAAAAAGUCUGAGAGUUGAUUUUUAAUUUCGUCCCAAAACGUCAAAAUAAGGGACAAUGCAGCCCACGAAAUAAAGAUCAAAUUUAGAAGAAUGUCGAAAGUCUCGAAAAUUCAUAUCUAACAAGUGAGUGGUCUCGUUUUGAGUGACAUUAAAGUUUGUUGCACACAAAAGCCAAAAAAAAAAACAAAACCCAAAGUCGAUUUUUAUUUUUGCUCCAAAACGUUAUAAAAGGGGCCAAUGCUAUAGCCUAUGAAGAAAGGACCCAAUUUUGAACGGUGCCAAAGUUUUCAAAAAUUCACAUAUACCUACUGGGUUGUCUCGUUUGAGUGACAUUAAAGUUUCUUGCCCACAAAAGCUGAAAAAAAUAUGCCCGAGAGUCGAUUUUUAUUUUCGUCCAAAAGCGUUGAAAAGUUGGUCAAUGCUAUAGCCUACGAAGAAAGGUUGCUUGUAUGUAGAAAAUGUUCCAUGUAUUCUUGCAUUUCUUUGUUGAACCACCUGCCCUCUACAAAACAAACCAUUUGGACGGUAAAAGUAUUACCUUUCUCUUUUAGUAACAAUUUUAAGAUCAGUUUACUUUCAAUUGGUAAUUCAUACUGUAAAGAGAAAAAUGAAAGUUUGUUAAGAUGAUAGAAGAAUAUUCGUCUUUGAAUGCAAAAUAAUAAAGAGAAAAUUCGAGAUGGGGAGAUGGGUUGGAAAAAUUAGGAAAUUGGUGAAAGAUAUAGGAAGGGAGAAAAUGGUAAAAAGAAAAAAAAAGAACGUUCUUAGGUAAAAAUUGAUUGAAUUAAAUUCUUAAUUAGAAAAAUGAGAAGUUGUACGUAUAUUUCAACUGCAUAUAAGAGGAAUGAUAUUUGGUUGUAUUUUGGGUAAAAUUGAAAUCAUAUUAAUGUGCCCUAAAUACUUUGGGGCCGGGUUUGAGGUAUAUUGUUUAUGAUUAAGUUUGUGAUGAGUGUUUUGAAUUCUAUAAUUGACUCAAUGCACUCUCUAUUAAAUUAACCACACUUCUUUCUUUCUUUUAUUUUUUUACAACGUAAAACUAUUUUGAAAUAAUUAGUAUUGUUAUUGCUUUUGGUAAAGUAAAUUAACCACAUCAUGGAGAUUAAAGACACAAGGGACUUCCGUAAAAGAGGAGUAGUUCAAAAAGGAAUGUUUUCAACAAUUAUUUGUUCGUGAAAGAAUAAAAUUAACAUCGACCUUGACCUUUGAGUUUUCACGUUUGUUACACACUUUAGGCUGUAUAUGCUUUCAUUUUUUAUUCUCCUUUAAUUUGAGACAUCAUUUUUAGUCAACACAACCAUUUUAUUUGAUGUCAUGACCCUUUCUUCCUCUGCUUGUAUUUAGAGAACAAACAAACAUGCACGGGCCACUUGUUACAAAUAGAGAGAGAGAGAGUGAGAGAAAACCCUACUUUUUGCUAAAUAAUCUAAAUUUAACAACUAAAAUUGCUAUAAAAUGGUCUUCUCCUUUCCUCACACCAUAAAGCCCAUAACAAAAAAAAAAAAAAAAGACUUACAGAAAGCUAAAACUAAAAAAUGGCAAAAAAACAUUAUGGUUGUUUUCUUUAUGUGCAUUGUUGUGAUGGGAUCACUACAAUUCUCCAAGGCACAGACGACCGCUAACAUGAGCCCAGAUCUUCAGGCGGCCGAAAAGAUCAAAAGUAUCGCCGAAGGAAUGAAACUAUGGCCUCAAAUGGAAUCAUGUGUACUAACAUGCAGGAAAGAAUGUGAUGCAAAAGGCAAUGCCAAUGCUUCAUGUCAUCAGAAAUGCAACAAUGAUUGCACGGAAAAGACUAUUGGUAUUUUCUUCAAUCUCAACAGAAAUGUUUGUUUUCUUUAAGGCAAUAAUUAAUUUUUUAAGUGAGAUAAAUUUUAGUUGCAAGGCAAAAUUUAACCUUUAUUCUUGAAAUUAGUGUGUUUGAUAAGAUUCGCAUUCCUUACUUUAAUAGUUUUGAUGCUAGAAAUUGAAGGGAUCGUAGAGUCGAAAUUUUAGAAUGAAAACUCAUCCAAAAAAAAUUGAUUGUUUAUUUCUUUCAACUUAAUGUUUUUUUUUUUUGUUAAUUUGAUUUUUUAUUCAUUUGUUUUGCAGCAUCAGUCAAGAACUAACUUCCCAUUGAUAAUUGACCAUGGAAUUAUUAAAGCAGAGAUCGGGAAAAUGAUCGGAUCAAGUAUAAAUUAUUUGAAUAAUUAGCAUUUCAACAAGGAAAAUCUAAAUUCCUUGACCCUCUUGUCGUCCAAUUUUAUUGCUUAUUUAUACAAAGGUUUUAUCCUUACAUAUCGUUGUGUGCUUCUUUCAUAAUUGUUGUCAACAACGAGAUCAAUAAAAUUCAUUUAGUUUAAGUGUUUAUUCACGUAACCUUUCUAUCAUUUUACAUUUAUUAUAUAAUCCUAACGUAUAGAAGAAAUUUUAUAAAUAUAUUACAGUACUAUUCAAGUUGCGAGUUCUUUUGUCACAUGUGUUUGUUUAAUAUUCAUUUGUAGUUUUUGAUAUAUUAUUAAAGUGAUAUGAUAUGUUCUACUGCUUUUAUUUUAAUUACAAUUUCAACAGAAGUUUAUAAUUUUCAAUUGGUAUUCAUAGCCUUUGGAUUGGAAAAAAAAAAUAAAGAGAAAAUUGGAGACGGGGAGAUGGGUUGAGAAAAUUAGGAAAUUGGUGAAGAACAUAUGAAGGGAGAAAUUGAUUAAAGAAACAAAAAAAGAAUGUUAUUAGGUAAACAUCCAUUGAAAUUUAUUCUUAAUUACAUGAAGAUUCAUUUUUAUUUUAAUCAUGAUUGAUACAAAUUUCCAUUCUAUUCUAAUCGUGAUUGUUUCGUUCUCCUCUAUUUUUAUUUCAAAAGUAAAAUAAAAAAUUCAUUUCUUGUAUUUGACACUUUGAUUAAAAUUAAUUAAUCUUUGUUAGCUUCAAUUUUAAUACAACCAAAGUUUUUAGCUUUAAAAAAUUCAUUACAAAUGAGGCUCCAGUGCAUAUACAUCACUUUGUAUUAGAAAUCUUCUUCGUAUAUAUAAAACAAAACAAACACUAUUGAAAAUUGUUGUGAAUAAUAUUCAUAUGAAUUAUACUUCAAAACCUCAUGCAAACUUCUGAUUUUAGUUACCAAAUUAUAAACCUUACAAUUCUCCUUUUCUUAGGCUUAUACUUAAUUCCCAAAUCUCUCCAUUAGAAGAGACUAAAGUGCACUGGCACAUGCACAUCAAAGAAGAGGUCAUCUAUAUAUAUAGAAAAAAUAAUAUAGAAUACGUAUAAUCCAUCCCACAAAUUUUUUUUCUUCAUACAGAAAAUAAUAAAUUUUGAUAGAUUACUUGUAUUUAAUAUAUUGAAAUGUUUGAAAUUAAAGUUUGAUUAUGGUUUAAUUAUGAUGAUUAAAAGGGUAUAGAAUAGAUAUAAAAAUAAGGGUCUUUUUUGGUUUUGUAGGGGAAAUAGAAUGGUGAAGGGUGAAGGGUGAAGGGUGAAGGGGGGGUUUUGUUUUGUGUAAAUUUAAAUGUGUAUUUGUGUUUAAAAGAAAAUUGGUUGCUUUUGUGGGCAAAGUAUUCGGAUUUGAGAGGGAAAUAUUGAAUUCCAUUUAAGGAAAGUGAUUGGGUUCCGUUUUGGUGCAUUAGUCAAUUUUCAAAAUUCCAAAAAUUAAAGUUGAUUGAAGGAGAGAGAUAUUGUGAGAAUUAAAACCCAUUCCCCAUUGGGACACAAUUUGACAUCACACUUCAUUUCCACCAUUAUUAGUUCUUUUUUUCUUUUAAGAAGUUCUUUUUUCAAUAUUUCAUUUCAAUAUUUUAUUGGGCGAGAGAAUAAUCAUUAAGGUUAAUGACAACUGUCUCUGUUAAUACGACAUAUUUUGGGAUAAAACUAAAAGCAAAGUUAUGUAGGUGUAUAUUCAAAGUAGACAAUAUCAUAUCAUUAUGGACAUGUGAAUGAGUUAUCUAGAAAACGUGUCCUUUCCUUUAUCAUAAGAACUUAAUUAUCCAUGUUGAACUCUUUUUCGUUGCUUAUAUAUAUUUAUCCUUAAAAACACAUGCUCUCAUAUAUUCUUAAUAGAUAAGAUUUCACUAAAGAACUAAAAAUGAAACUAAUUAUAAAAACAAUAAACAUUCCACUUUGUUAAAGAGAUGUCAAGAACAAUGAGACUAAUAAUGAUAAUUAAAGAAAAAUGUUCAUAUUAAACAAAGGGUAUAGGGAAGUGAUCAUAACUUAAUCUCAAAGCUUCCUCUUCCCCAUUCAUGCAUAACACUUUUCAUUCCACACUAUUAAUUGAGUAAUCCUAUUGAUUAGGAAAUAAACAAUCACAAUAUGAAAGUUAAGCUCAAUGGAGUCCAAACCAAGUUAUAAACCUAAUCAUGUCAUGAGGGCAAUUAUUAUGCUGCAAGUUUCAAUGACGGGUUACAAACAAAAUAAUUAAAAGACUACGUAUCAAUUAUAUUGUGGAAUGCUCACUUUGAAGCUAAGUUAUCUAUCAAAGUUUAAGAGUCCAAUUCAUAUUCAAGUUUGAUACGGCAAUUCAGAGUAUUGUUCAUAUUAACGGAAGUCAAUUAUUCAAAUUCUAAUAAUCUAACUUCAUUCACUUUUUUAAAUGUUUUACUUAAUUUAAUUUGUAUAUUUUUCAUUCACGAAGGUUCACAUAUGAAAUAGAAAAUUUUGUUGGAAUUUUUUGUCCUAAAACUCGUAGUUUGUAAAUCAUAUUCUAUUCAAUAAAGUUGUUAUUGAGAAAUUAAAAUAUUAUAAUCUUAAAUCCAAUAAAUCAAAGUUCCAAGGCUAUUUUUUGAAUAAACUUGAACUUUAUGUGUAAACAUAAACGUGGAUCAAGUUCGAGUAUAUAGCCUAAAUAGUCUAUAGUAUAUGAAAUAAAGGUUGGGCGCCUUAUUUUGAGAGACUAUGGAUGCGGCCCACUUUGUAGUACAAACGAUGUGAUCCUAAUCGUUCAUGUAGAGACAUGAAAGUGGGGGCAUCCUAUGUAAAAUGUUUACAUAAGACUGAACCAUGAAUUAGUCAUUUUUACGUUAUAACACCGUUUACUGUUUAAAACUGACUAUCUCAAUUAUUGAUGACCUAGGUAACUUAGUCUUAAUCCUGAGUUAACUAUGAACUCCUGUUCAUACGAGAUUAUCUUUAGAUCUGCAUAGGUGAGGGCAGCUCAUCAGCGUUGGCCCAAUAAGCCUCCCAUUUCAGGGGUAAGAUCGGGUGGAUAGCUGGGAACAUAGGGUACAAGAUGGAAUUCACUCCUACCCGCUUUAGGGUUAGUAGAUAGGUUGCUCUCUUAAGCACUGAAUCCAAGUCUUGAACAAGGGGCCCCACCCUCUCAUUGGCCCGAGAGGGAUUAAGUUUAUAGGUUGAACCUUAAACCAAUUGUUCAAUAGUGGAUUAGUGGGACUUAAGGAGCAAGAUGUAAUCCUGGGGGUAAAACGGUAUUUUGACCCAGCCAAGGUUACGAGCAACCUGUGAAGGAUUAACUUACUGAUUAUGGUUUUAUCAAAUGGACACAAAUAUAUCUAUAGUGAGGGGAGUGCAACUACGGGACUUUAGUGGAAUGACCCGUUAGUUAACGAAUGUUGAUUAACUCGGUUUAAAAGAGUUUAGCUAGUUAAUCUUGAAUCGUUGGAGCCCAUGAUCUAUAGGUCCAUUAGGUUCCUCUGCUAGCUCAUAUGGAUUAAACUUAGAACAGUGUGAUGAAAUAAGUCGAAUUGUUCGAAUAGGGAGAAGAAAGGAAAACCGACAUAUACAGUGAUAUAAUCGUCGGUCUUCUAAUUAGAAAUAGAGCUUUAUGUUUUACAUACUAUAAGUAUGAAUGCGGAUUCAUACUAAGAAGCUCGGAAUUGGUCAAAAAUAGUAAAAAGUCAAAAUGUUGACUUUUGACUUUGAAAAGUCAAACUUUGACCGGCCUUAUAUUCAAAUGUGAUUUGAAUUUUGGAAAAAUGAAUGCGGAUUCAUGCUCGGGAGGUUGGAAUUAGUCAAGACGGACAAAAUGGUAAAAAGUCAAAAUAUUGACUUUUGACUUAGAAAAGUCAAAGUUUGACUUUUGACUAGAAAAAUCUAAUGACCAUUUUACCCUUGGACUAAGUUAGUGGGAAAAUCCAACAUUUUGUUGGAUAAUCCCACUAACUCUUAGUGGGAUAUGUGGCUAUAUGAGAUAUAGACACCUAGCCCACUAAGUUCCACUAAUUGUUAGUGGAAUAUUAGGUGUUGAGAUUUGGCAAUUGAAUUGCAUGCAUUUUUGCAUGUAAUUAGGCUAUAAAUAGAGAUGUUUUCAAAUGUUGAAGGACUUUUGCCUCUUUUAUCAUUUUCAUAAUCUCAACAAAAGAAAAAAAAAAAAGCUUCCAAUCUCAUUUUAUCUCCACUACUUUCUACACCAAAAUUGGGUCCCACAACCCGGUUCUUUGUCUAGAGGAUAGCAGUUGAGUACUAGUGGUGGUCUCGGGUAGAAUUGGUAAGAAGACAUCAAACCUUUUGAAAGCUUCAAAGGUAAUACUUCUUAAAACCCUAAUUUGAUUAGUUUAUGGUUACAUGUUAAUUGUGGCAAUUAGGGUAGAAAUUCGAUUCUUUUUCCGCUGUGCAUGACUUAGUUCUAUCAAAUUUCAUAUUGAACUUUAAUCUCUUUCGAACUUUAUAGUCUUUUUCUUCCUUCACUUUCAAUUUUAGUAUGAUCUAUUAGAUCGUUAAAAUUUCAAAGUUUAACUUAAUAAAAUUGUUAAAUGAUAUAUAACAUUCAAUUUACGAAUAUGUUAACUUAAACUUUUAAGUCAAUUUAUGAUUAACAAGUUCUCAUUUCUCAUUGAUGAUUGAUCAUAUUUCUAAAUAAAAUGUACAAUUGUGUCGUGAUCUUAUUAUUUUAGAUAUUCUUCUCAUUGGUGUGGAGAUUCGCUUAGAAUAAGAGAUAUAUAGGGUGUGUUUGGUUGAGAUUCUAAAGUGAUUAAUUUUGCCAAAAAAACUAUUUUGAAAAAAAUGGUAGUGUUUGGCAAAUUAAAAUAAUGUAUUUUUUAAAAAUUCAUUUAUAAAAUAAUGUAUUUUAAAGAAAUCUUUAAAAACCAAAAUCAUAUAUAAACAAUUAUAAAAAAAAUCUAACCAAACAUUAAAUGUUUAAAUUUUAAACUCAUUUUCGAAAAAGUAUUUAAAAUGAAAUGUAUUAUUGAAAAACAUUAUGUUUUUAAUUCAAUCAAAACGGACCCUUAAUCCAUAAUCAACACAACACUUCAUUGAAUCUUCUUUCCAACAAAAUAAAUAACAAAAAUUUGUAAGUUUUUGUCUUAAAUAAUUAACUUUUUAUUAUUAUUAUAAUCCUUUCCAAUUAUUUCUUUACUGAAUCUCUGAAAAUGCAACAAAACAAGAAAAAAACAUAUAUUUUUGGAAUUAACAAAUUGAACUACAAAUGAAAAAAAAUAAAUAAUACAAUUUCUCUAUGAAUUGAAUUUACUGUAAUAAUUUCAAAAACAUAUUUUACAUGAAGAAAAAAAAUAAUAUAAUUUAUUCUGUGUAUUUGAUUUAAUGUAAAAAAUUUCACUUUUGUAGUUGCUAACAAAAAAUAUUUAUACAAAAUGAACAAAAAGAAUUAAUGUAAAAUUUGGGUGUAUUUGAAUUAGGGUAUAACUAAAGAAAAUGAACUUGUGAUAGGAACAACAACAAAAUUCUACACAAAUGCAAAAAAUGUUCACAUUUUACAUUUUAUAUUGAAUUCAUAAAAAAAGAAAAAACAAGAAUUUCAUUUUUUAUUUUCACAAUUAUUUUGGUACACUUUUUUUACACAAAUGAAAAAAAAAAUACAAUCUUUUUAUCGUAAUCCUUCUUCCAAAUAAAUAUUAUAAAUAAUUCUCCAUAAUCUUCUCACAAACAAUAAUUAUAAUAAUAAUUUCCUUUUCAUAAACCCUCUCUUUAUUCCUUUCCUCCCAUCUUCCUUUCCUUUUCUCCCCCAAAAUAUUCUUCUAAAAGAGGAUUCUCAAAGAAUAUGUUUUCCGCCACGUCGGUUCCAUUCUCAGCCACCCUUCUUCUUCGCCACGUGUGCUUGAUUCGUUGGGCCUCCCUAAGGGCCCAAAUGUGUAGUCCGCCUCGACAGUAAGCCCAGAAUGAUGAAUCAAAAUCACAGUUUAUAUAAAAAUUGAAUUGAGAAAAUUAAUUAAUUGAAAAUCAUUAACAAUACUUACAAAAUAAAUCAUGGAAUUUAGGAGAGAUGAAUCUAUUCUGUUUUUCUAUACGGAAAUGAAUCAAUUUACUCUUGCCUAAUACCAAAUAUUGUGUGCAUUUUUAUUGGUUCCCCAUUCCAAAUUAUUCCAAAUUCAUUCCCUUUUUAAAAUCACUCCUUUACAUUUUUUAAAUAAGGAGAAAAUAUCUUUUCUUUUGAUUCACUUUAAAACCUCAAAUUUUCACUCACUUUUGUCUUUAGCUGCUGUUUAUUAAUUUUGUUUCACUACUUAAAUAAUAAAUGAUAAAUCUUACUUCGUAAUUAUUUUUAAAUAAUUAAUAGACACUAAUAGUAAUGAUUAAAAGUGAAAAUAAUAAUAAAUAAAAUAAACAAGGUUAAAAAAUAAAAUAACCAAGGUUUAAAAUGUAAUGAAAAAUUAAACAAAUAAAAUAACCAAAGUUAAAACGUAAAUCAUGGAGUCAAAUCGAUCAAAUUGAAACGAUACUGUAAAUUUGAAAAUUAAUCUCAAAACUUAAAAAAAAAAAGACUAAAUGUGUAAUAUUUUUUAAAUCAAAGGACCAAGCCUAACCCCAAACAUUUGCCAAAAUCAAGGAAGCACUUUCCUUUUUUUCUUAGAAAAAUGGUGUCAUUAGUUGAUACAAAUUUCAUUAAAAUUGUCUGGAAAAAUAAACAAAAAGAAUUUGAAUAUUCAGGAACCAUAGAAAUGUUUCAAAGUUUUGCAAGGAUGCAGUGAAAACAUCAGGCAUCAACUAAAGCUUAACUUGAAUCAAUGCAAGAAGUACACGUACUAACAUAAAUAUAUAACUAUAUAUAUACACACAUGCCCAUACCCUUACCUUGUGUUAUAUUAGAAUGAUGUCAAUAUAAUGAUAUUCCAAGUUGUCUGCUCUCUGUCCAUCAUCAGCCUUCUGACCUUUAGAGUUACCAACUCAAGAACUUGGAGAAUCAAACCUCCAAGCCAAUUCAAAGAAUCUAAUGCUGUGGGUCAGGUUUAUACUUUAUUAAAGUCAACUCUCGUAAGAAUCGAUUCAAAAAAGGUUCUAGAACUAGAUGGUCAAGACCAUGGCAAUGGAGGCAACAAACAGGGAAGAAGAUUUGGGGUCGAUGCAAAAAUGACCAAAAUGAAGAAGAGAAGGGGCUGAUGAGGAUGAAGGCGAUGAACGGCUACCAAAGAAAAGGAAGAGAAACCUGCGUAACAAAAGUUCUUCCACUGCAAAUUCUGAACUUGGAGCACAGAAGAAUAUUAUAUAUUCAUAGCCUAGAAAAUUAGCAUAAUAAUAGUACAAAAUAAUAGGCAUCUUAUCAUCACUCUUCUGAAUAUUUUAAGCACUGGACUCAGCUGAGAAGUUUGGUUAGUCCUAAAUAUUCAACCAAUGUCUUAAAAGGACUUCAAUUAACUCUAUCACUUCCAAGAGGACUUCACAAAAAUAGUAAUUAUAAAUAAGAGACUUCAAUUAACUCUAUCACUUCCAAGAGGACAGAAAGGGGGCCUCUAAAUAUUCAACCAAUGUCUUAAAAGGAUUAAAUUACCCGACAAAAAAAGACAUCACAAAAAUAGUAAUUAUAAAUAUAUAUAUAUAUAUAUACAAAUAAAUAUAUAUAUAUAUAUAUAUAUAUACACACACACGAAACUUUAAAAAGAUUAAAAAUGAUAAUAUUGACAAAAGUGAAGUAUAAAACACAAGGCUGGUGCCAAUCAGCAGGUCCUUACUACAUAAAACUAAAACGAGGGGUGGAAAGAAGAAAAGUAAAGGGAAAAAAGGAAAAAAAAGAAAAAGAAAGAAAAGGAAAAACGGUAAGAGGAAACGAAAAGGGUUUGUUGGAAAAGGUAUCAAAGCCAAAUUAGCCCAAAUGAAGCUCUUAACAUAAACUCUCCCAAAAGUACAGGAUCAUUCAUCCACAAGUUCAGCAGCACCUCAAACGCAAAUAUGGAUUCCCAAGCAUCUAAAAGAAAUAAGACAACGCAAACUAAUAAUCUGGCCUGUCAAAUGAAUACUCCCAUCAAAACAAUGAAGUUGAAGAUUCAAAUAAGAAAAAUGAAACAAGAAAUCAAAGAUAGAAAAAAAGAAAAAUAAAAUAAAAUAAUAAAAGUAAAAGACCAAAAACCAAAAACACAUCCGCAUUAUUAUUGUUGACUGAAAUACAACAAAAUCAACAAGUUCCCCAAACCCAUCUAAUCAGAAAAAGCAUAGCAAAAGAACGAUCAUCAAAAGAAAGUACAAAAACAAAUUCAGUGAAAUGUGCCAAAAAAAUCCAAAUUAAUAAUUGAGAAGGAUGGGAAAGUGACUAAGUCGGCAAUUAAAAGACUGAACCAAACUGGCUCAAAAUUAAAAGACAAGCACCAUCCGAUGGGAUAGAUUUCAGUAUUUGUGACCAUCAGGAAACAUAAUAAUUCAUAAAUAAAUAAAAUAAAAUUUUGAUGAAUUGUUUUCUGGUCGGUACAAGUCAAAAGAAAAACACAAUUUCAACCUGAUAACACUUUUCAAAUCAUUGGAAGACGAGGCAAAUUCUAUUGGAAAAUAAAUGAAAACAUGAUAAAAAAUCAAAUUAGGUGAGAAGAAGAUCUAAGAACACGAGUGAAACAAGGGAUAAGUUUCUUUCGAGUUUGCAUGGUGAAGCAAUUAGGGUAAAGAUGCUUUAAGCUUGAGGAUAGCUAUUAAGUCUUAGGAUGUGUUAGGCCUAUUUUGAAAAACAUUUCGUUUUUGAGAAUUAAAUUUGUAAACACUACUUCCUUCUACUUUGAGUUUUUUUAAAAUCAAGCCAUACUUUUUAAAUUUUACGAAAAAAGAUGUAGGCCCCAUUCAGUUACCAUUUCAGUUUAUGGUUUUUGUUUUUCUGUUUAUUAAAUUCCGUUUUUAAACUUUGGUUUAUUAAAAACAAAAACCAUAAAUAUUAGGUGACUGAUUUAAAAACAAAAUCCUUCUUUUUACAUUUUCAGUUUUCCUUCCUAACUUAAAAAACAAAUUUCUUGUUUUAAAAACAAACAAAGUGAAUUAGUUACCAAACACACCUAUUUUUUAAGAACUAAAAAUCAAAAACCAAAAACAGGAAAUGAAACAAGCCCGUAGUUUAAAAAAAAAUGAUUUUGUUUUUGAAAUCUGCCAUAGAAUAAAAAAAUAUAUAAAAUAUAAGUGAUGAAUCUCAUCUUGGAGAAUCUGAUUUCAAAGAAAUACUUCUGGGUAUAUUAUUCAAAAUUGAGAUGGAGGAGAGGAGCUUUAAAUUGGCCAACUUCCCAGUGCUCAAACGGCAACUUUUUUACAAAUCUAAAAUUCUAAUAUUAUUCAAAUUACAAGAUACUGACCCAGCUGUUAGCAAAGUAAAAAAUAAGUUGUAGUAGAGUUAGUGUUUGUGUUUGUAAUUACAUCAAUAAGAGAUGAAAACCAUAGAAAAGUAGUGAGAAAACAAACACAAUUUUCAAAAACUAAAUAGUCAUCAGAGGGGGGCUUUAUUGAUUUAGAUGGCUACAAGUGUUCUUUUCCUAAAACUUGCAAUAUUUGGUGACCAAUAAAAUUGAAAAUAAGUUGAUUUUAAUUUUUAACAAACACUUUAAAGUUUAUUAUAAAAAAUGUCAUUUCAAAAGGAUCAAUAAAGAAUCAGUUUGAGGUCGCUCGGCAUUUGGAUGUUUGCUUCUAGAUGUGCGUAUGUACAAUAAGGGUAAAAAAAGAAGGAAAGGAUAAAGAAGGUCAAACCAACCGAAAAAGAGCAAUGAAAAGACUCAAAAAAACACUUCGAAAAAGAGCUCCAACUGUUACUUAAAAGGAAAGGGAGGAAAAAGACUGAAAAAUUUAUUGGAAGAAAAUAAAGAAAUACAAGGGAGAGGCAUUAAUAGAGUCCCCUUUGAACAUCCUUCCAAUACAUCUUUCUAUCUUGAAUUUUCUUUUGUUCUUGUCCCAAUAAUCAUCUCCUCCUAAGGAUCACAGAUAUAUCCCUAACAGACCCAGGUCAAAAACCCAUUAGAUCCCUGUAUCAGAACACCUGACAGACCCCGCUCAAAGACCCAUUAGAUCAAAAGUGAGAUAGUGGAUGGAAACAAAUAAAACACAGUCACCAAUUUACAAGAUCAAAGGACACAGUGCAUACUCUACAAGUGUCCAGAUUCACCAUAGCUAUAGAAGUCUCAAGUUCAACCAUGCACAUUGCUGCCAUACCUACCCUCCACUUCCUUGAGGUCCACUUUGGUAGUUAUCCCAGACCAUGCCUUGAGCCAACUCAAGCAAUCACACCUUCUUAGGCGUUCUAAAUCCCUUACUACCCAACAAUGGCAAAACCAAAAGACAUAUCUCUCUAGCCCCACUCUCUCAGCUUGACGUAGGUUGUUACAGAAUUACAUUGUUAUUGUCUUGUAUUUUAUUUCAAUUAGCUAUUAAGUUUUGCCUGGGUAAUCUUUUUUUUUUUUUUUUACUUUGGUGGAAAGGAAACUAAUAUAAUUAGUUUCUAUUUCCCUAAGACAGUGGACUCCCUUGUGUACACAAUAGACAAUACACAUUGUUGGGCAAUCAACAAAAUAAAGGCAAGCCGGUGCUAUUUCUCAAAAGUCCAGUAACUGUUGAUAGUUUUUCAAUAAUAUGAGAGGUGAUUGAUGUACGUAAAAGAGAACAAAAGGUAUUCAUACUACAUCAAACAUCCUCCUCGUAUAUCUUAUAGGAGGAUGCAUCUCUUAAACCACCGGACUGCCUUUGGUAAUGGGAACUCCAAUGAGCAUUCAAGGUCCUAUUAAGAGCGGGAGUUAUUAUUUAACAUCCCAAAUCCUGGCUCCCAUGUUCGUUCAAAAUAACUUUGAGCUACUAAGAAUUGUUUUCCCUCAAGAUAGAAAGGAUGUAUUGGCACAGAUCUCAAGAACAAGGUAACCCAUUACAAGACUUUAUUGGCAGAGCCGCAGAUGCAACUUCAUAACCAAAAUUUGUUAGGUAUAAGUAUAACAAAUCAGGUUUAUUUGGUCAAUUUGAUUCUGUUCUUGUAAGCUUAGCAAUCCAUUUGGAUGGGUUUUUAGUCAAUCAAGCAGAAAUUUUGGUCUUCCAAUAAAUCAGUUUCAACGUCAUUUUUCUAAAUCGAUACACUUGCUGGCUGUUAAGCCUAAACUUUUACUAUAAUAGGAGUCGCAUCUACCAGCACCCUGUAAACAUUAUCUCUCCUAAAACCUCUUGCAUACCACAGCAACAAGCCAUCCUCCUCUAGUUUACUAAACAAAAUUCAUAAACCUCCUUCUUUACCCAACUCUUUUCAAAGAAGUCCCUACCAAUUCCUUUCCAAGUACUUUGAAAACUCUACCCGAUGUCAUAAACAUAAACAAAGAUAAUAUGUGUGAAGUAUUAAAUAAAGCUGCCUUGGCCAGAGGUCAUGACUACCUUUUAAGAAGAGCAUUUUUAUUCAUUGCUAAAGUAGUUUGAUUACCACAUGAGUUAUUUAUUUAUUUCGAAAGGAUUUGAUUGCCACUUCAUGAAUUACAAAUUCUCAGAAUUACCUCCUAAUGGCCAUUGGCCAUCCUAGGUAUUUCAUAUAUCAAUCAUCUAAGUCACAAUUAUACACGCAGGCUUUUGUUGAUGACAGUCUUAAGUUCUUAACAGUACCCAUCAAUAAUCUAUAUACUACCUAUCACUGUAAUUAAUGAUAUGCACUGAAUGAAAAGUUGAAACAUUUAAAUGGUAGAAGUGCAGUAAAUAAAAAGAAUAUGAAACAUUUCAUACCACAAGUGUGACGUGUAUCCUCCGAGAGACCCACCAGCAGCCGCCUGACCCGAUUCAGAAACCGUCUUACCGAGCAUUGUGCUUGAGUAAAUGUGCGGCAACCCCUUCAACGAUGACGAACCAGGCCCAUAAGAGCCUAGCAAUGACGAACCACCAGCACUUAAUUGGCUUAAGCCAUACGACCCCCCACUGUAACCACUCAAGCCAAUCCCAGCCCCAACUGAACUACCAACCAAACCCACUUGACUCAUGGGAACUACUCCCUGGUUCAACAUACCACCUCCCAAAGCUGGACUCCCAUAUCCACCAUACACCGGAUGAUUAAGGCCCGGAUGUUGAGCAAACAAUUGCAAAUUAGGAGCUGCGGCCAUUGCCGCCAUAACCGGCGUCUGAUUCUGCCCUAAGCUUUCCGCUGCCUGUGUGGAAUUUUGAUUCUUGUUCUUCCCUCAGACGCCCUCUGGCAGUGCAAUUUGUUCCCUUCAAACACUUUGUGUGGUUCCUCAAGAGCCUUCCUCGCACCUUCAUUCGUUCUAUAAAUAAAAAUGGCAUAACCCCUCGAUUUCCCUGUCUCGGGAUCGAACCCAAUCGGACCCAUCUCUAAGUCUCCAAAUUUCGCAAAGAACGCCCUAAGCCUCUCAGCAUCCACAUUAUGGUGCACAUUAGCCACAUAAAUCUUCCGCGGCCCAACCUCCUGGCUUUGCGGGGGCGGCACUGAACCCACAGAAGCCAAUUGACACGAAGUCAUCCGGUUAUUAAUCUUCUUCCUAGGUUCCUUCAACGCCUUAAUUGCACCUUGCCGGGAUUUGAACAAAAAUAAACCCAUAUCCCUUAGCCUUACCUGUGUUUCUGUCCAUAACCACAUUGCAAUCUUCAAUUUCACCAAAAGAUUCAAAAACCGAAGUUAGGGUUUCUCGGGUGGUGUCCCAACCGAGGCCAUGGACAAAUAUCUUGCGGUGAGUAACAUCGCGGUCGGCAGCAGCUCGAAUUUGGGCUUGAAGAUUUGGGUCUUUGAGAGCGGUGGUGCAAAUGAGCUCAAUUAAUUGGUCUUGGAGAAGGGUUCGAGGAGUUUGGGAAGAUCGUCGAAAUCGGAGUCGGAGACGUCGUCGACUGGUUGAGACUGAACGUUAUGUUCAAGCUCUUUCUUGAGUUUCUUAUCGACCUUGUUUUCAGAUUUCUUGACCAGCUUUCUUUUGGCGGUUUUGUUGGUUCCCUCCAUUGGAGAGCUACUGAGCCGGCGGCUUCAAAAGAAGAAGAAGAGGAGGAAGACGAAACAAGGUUUCGGCGGACUGCCCCGAGUCUAAAGCAAAUUUUAAUAUUAAUAUUAUUAUUUUGUUCUUUUUUUGAGAAAAUCAAUUAAUAUAUAAUAAAAUAGAGAAAUUGUUGUCAUUAAUUUAAGGGGUUUUUUCUUCUUCUUCUUCUUUUUUUUUUUUUUUUGUUAAAGAAUAACUUUAUGCUAAAUUACAAAUUUGGUUAAGCUUUGUAUAUUUAUAUGGUAGUAGUUUUCUUUUCCAUAAAUAUUAAUAGGUGUUGAUAUAUAGUUGAUAUUUGGUAUCAACUUAUUCUUUCUAAUAUAAUCAUUUUUACAACCUACAAAAUAGAAAAAAUAGCCUCCAUAUUAUGUUUGGUCAUCGACACUUUGACAAUCCAUAUGGUAGAAAGGACAUACUAGAAAUCUUGUUAAGGUAGAAAAGACGAGAAGACAACUUUACCAUUGUGCUAACUAAUGUUAUUAGUAUUAUAUGUAUCUAAAGAGUAUGAAGUUGUGUGUGUAUAUAUAUAAAGAGCAUAUAUUAUACGGCUAGAUGGUUGAUCUUGUGGAUCAAUCACCAUAUUUGGUCAAAUAAGUCUAUGGCUAAAUGUGGGUCUGUCUCCAUUCCUAGUCAAACAAGUAUUCAGUUAUUCUUUCACAAUACUAAGUUUUUAAUAUUUUUUAUUUAAUCAAUUUACUUAAAAAUUUAGAGGGAGAGAUUUUCCUCUUUUCCAUUGUCAUGGAAGGGGUAGAGAGGGAAGAGAAAAAAUAAAAGGGAUGAAAAAAAACGAAGGAAAGCAUUAUUCAUCUUUCUUUCUCCUACUUGGAUGGUUGUUUUGUUAGAAUUUUGAUAUAUAUGUUGAGCUUUUGAUUCUUACUUAACUCUAAUAUCUAAUUUGUAGAUAUCAAUCAAGUAUAGCUCUUUGUAAGUAUGUCUUGCUUUAGGAUCGGGUCGAAUAGUAAUAGUUUAAACACACUUUCAUAUUAAUUUUGAUACUAAAACAAGGAAAAUUUACCCAACGCGGGAGAAAUAAUACUUUGAUAGUUAUAUGUUCAAGUUUAUCUCUUAUUUUAUGGUACAUGAUUUUGCACUGACUAAACUAAAAUAUUCUUUAAGUAGGAAGGAAAGUUACCAACUAAAGAUUCGUAUGACUGUCACCACAGUAUUAAAUAACCUCGUGAAUUCUCUUGAAUCUCUUGAACACAUUUUCUACUUGUAUAACUUAGCGUGGAAGUUUAAUGAAAUUCAUCUUUACAUUAUUAUUGGAAGGGAUGGUCUUAGAAGUUCAAAAUUUAAUAAAGUUUUUUCAAUAUAAUUCAUGUAAAGGUAAAGGUUAGAAUUUGAGAUCUCAACAAAGAUGGUGCAUAAUGUUAUGCUAUUUUUUUUUUGACAAUUAAACUAAGAUUAGUAAAACAUAAGUUAUAAUAGUUAUUACUGUCGAACACAACUCUAGCUAACCUAAUUGUUUAGGAUGAAAAUUUCUGCCCAACAUUCUGUAUUAUAUAUCAACUAAUUAACUAUAGCCAUAUAUUUUUAAUAGUUUUCAUUCUAUAUAUAAACAAUAUCAUGUCACCUACUACAUAGUUUUUAGUGCUACUGCUUAAUAAGGUGUGUCAUUAGUUUUGUUUUUGCAAAAUCUUUCUUUUAACCAUUGUCAUCAUUUGAUUUAUGUAAUAUUCUAACUUUAUUCUAAACAUGGAUAAGAGUUGGAUAUGAUUUAAGCGAAAUAGAUAAAUUUUAUAAAAAUAAUUUGUAAGCAACUAAAUUUAUGUUGAUAUCAAACUCUCAUAAGAGAUUUCCAUAUAUUAAGAAUUGAUUUUCGAUGUUUGAUUUCAAAAAUUAAUUAAUUUAAAAUUAUUUAAUAAGUGGUUUUCUAUUUGAGAAAUAAUUAUAAAAAAAUUUCUCAAAUGAGUGUGUAAAAAAAUUAAAUAACCAUUUUAGAAUGAUUUCCAAUCAAAUUACUAAAUAAAAAUUACAUAUCAUCUCAUUUCUCUAACAUCCAUUUGAAAUUAUUUUAUAUUUUUCUAAAAUCAAUAAACAAACCCUAAAUACCUCUAAAUUUUACGGUUCAAUUUUUAAUUGACUAUGUUGAAGAAAAUGUUUGAAAUUUGAAAUUAUUUCAAAACAUACCAUUAAAUUUUUUUCCUUUACUAAAAUGAAUUAUAAUAUUUAUAAAUUAAUUUCAAACUAUCUAGAGAAUUAAAUUGUUGUUAAAAGAUAUCAUAUCAUGACAUAAAAAAAAGUCUACAUCCCAAAAUCUUUAGUUCUUUCAUUUGUUCAAUCUCUUUUUCAAUGAAAAUGUCGACUCAAAAUAUCAAAAUUUUAAAAGUAUUUGAUCGAUUUAGUGAUAAUUAAUUCAACUAUGUUGGCUUUUGCUAUAUGUAUAGUAAUAUGUAUAUAUAUAAACACUGUGUACGGAUGAAAAUAUAUUCCCGUGAAUUUACUUUGGAUAAGUUCCAUUUGUUUUCUUCUGCACUUUGAAUAUAUUCGGUAUCUACCAAUUACCAUCCAAAUUCUCCUUUCCUUUCUCUAUAAUUAAAAUAGAAAAAUAAAAACAAACCUUUCACUUUUUGUAAAUAAAAUUUUCCAAACCAAUCAUUCAUAAACUCAAACUUUCUUACUCUUUCUCUUAUCUUCUAUCCUUUUGCAACAAAAAAAAAAAAAAAAAAAAACUAUGAAAAUCUGCUUCUUCUUCCUUCAACUCACUCUCAUCAUUGCUACAAUUUUCGCAUCCAAACCAACUUAUGACUUCUCCAGUACCAUCUUCGACACCGGAGGGCUCAGUCGAGCUGCAUUUCCAGAAGGUUUCGUCUUUGGAACUGCAACUUCUGCAUACCAAGUAGAAGGAAUGGCUGACAAGGAUGGCCGAGGCCAAAGCAUUUGGGAUCCUUUCGUUAAACUCCCCGGUACUCAUAUCUUUCCAUUACUUUUGAGUUCUGAUUUAGUUAAAAAUGAACUAAAUAUCAUCAGAUCUUCUUAUUUUUUUCCGAUGUGAGAGAUUCUCAUGGCAUAAUAAAUAUAAUUGCUUGAGUUAUUUUUCCUUGUUUUUUUUGAAAUGGUUGUGAGUAGGAAAAAUUGUUGACAAUGCUACUGGAGAUGUAGCUGUGGAUCAAUAUCAUCGAUACAAGGUAUACGUGAAUCAUGUCAUCAUAUUUAAUUGAUAUUAAGAAGUUUGAAUAUCCAUAUAUAUCUGGUUAAUGAUUUUUCUUUUUAAUCUUAACAAAAUUGUUUUUAAAUUUCUAAUUUUAUGUUUUUAAUUUAAUUUCUUUGUCCGUUUGGAAUAGGAAGACAUUGAUAACAUGAAAAAGCUGAACUUCGAUGCUUAUCGAUUCUCGAUUUCUUGGCCGAGGAUAUUUCCAAGUAUUUAAAAUUUUCUCUUUAUACAAUAUUUUUAUCUUUUGAAUGGCAAAAAUCAUUACCUGCAGCUACAUAAUUAUAAUUAAUAAUAAUCUGUUUUAUUUCAUUUUUGCUUCUUUGUUUUUCAAUAGAUGGAACAGGAGAAGUAAAUUGGAAAGGGGUUGCUUACUAUAAUAGAUUGAUUGACUACAUGAUUCAACAAGGUAAAAUAUUAUAUGUUACACCCAUUCAUUUUAUUUGAUUUCAAUUUUAGUAUAAAAAAAAUUCAAAUUAUAGCCUAUUUAAUUAAUAUCUAUUUUAUUUUUCGGUAUAAAAAAUGAAGCCGAAUUUAUUUAAAAUUUUACGACGUAUAAUUUUCAAAUCAGAAAACAAAAUGAUAAAUUAGUUAUUAUUUACUUACUUAAAUAAUUAGACUAUUUCUUUGUUAGGAUAUAAUGUUGUUAUUUUGGACAUAGACUCUAGUCAUUUUAUUUUUAAUUUUAUUUGAAAGACUUGUCUAGCGAAAAUGAUAAUAUAUUUAAGUAAUCGAGUUUUUUAAAGUAUUUUAUGGUUUAAUAAGACGAUCAUUACGUCGUAAUUGUAAUUGACUCUUUAUUAUUUACGACUUCUUUUAGUAAUUAUUUCAUCGAUUUAAUUAGUUUGUUUUUUAAUUGAACUUAUUUUCUCUUUAUUUAUUAAAUUUUUAGUUAAAUUUUAAAUGUCAAACAACUAUUUGUUUAAAUUUCAAAAACUCAAUAUAAUAAAAUUUUAAUGAUUAUAAUUCUAUGUGUGUGUUUCCUUUUCAUUGCAACGUGAAGGAAUCACACCCUAUGCAAAUCUUUACCACUACGAUCUUCCCUUGGCAUUACAAGAAAGAUAUAGAGGUUUACUAGACAAGCAAAUUGUGUAAGUUUGAUCAAACUUAUGUGUAUAACUUAUAUUUUCAUACCUACAUUGGGUUAUGAUUGCAAUUAUUUUCAACAUAUAUAUGUGCAUGCAGGAUCGAUUUUACAAAUUAUGCAGAAUUUUGUUUUGAAGAAUUUGGAGAUAGAGUGAAGAAUUGGAUGACAUUUAACGAACCGAGAGUUAUAGCUGAUGUUGGGUUCAAUAGCGGAAUAAUGCCUCCUUCAAGAUGUUCAAAAGAAUAUGGAAAUUGUACAGAUGGGAAUUCAGGAACUGAACCUUACAUUGUGGCUCAUAAUAUAAUUCUUUCCCAUGCUAAUGUGGUUGAUACAUAUAGGAAGAAAUUUCAAGUAAGUAAAGAUGCUUUUUUUUUCUAAUUAUUUAUUAAGUUUUGUUUUUAUUUUUGUGAAUAAUAUUUUUAUUAAUAUAUAGACUUGUAAUUUCUAUAGGAAAAACAAGGAGGAAGAGUUGGGAUUUUGUUGGAUUUUACAUAUUAUGAACCUCUCACUAAUGAGAAAGAAGACAGAGAUGCAGCUCAAAGAGCAAGAGAUUUUCAUAUUGGCUGGUAAAAAUUAAUAUAUUAAUCCAAUUUGUGAUUUGUUUUGUGUUCAAGUUUAAUUUUUAUGUUAAAUUGGAUCAUUAAAUAUAUAAUAUCAAUUUUCACCAACCUAUACAUAUAUGUAUAUGUUGAAAUUAGGUUCUUGCAUCCAUUUACAUAUGGUGAAUAUCCAAGAAGAAUGCAAGAAAUAGUAAAAGAAAGGUUACCAAAAUUCAGUGAAGAAGAGGUAAAAAAGGUGAAAGGGUCAGUAGAUUUUGUGGGUAUCAAUCAAUAUACAACUUUCUAUAUGUUCAACCCUACUUGGCCAAAACCAACCACUCCUGGCUAUCAAUCUGAUUGGCAUGUUGGCUAUGCUUGUAAGACUCUACUACACCAUUGUUAUUAUUAUAAUUAUUUAAUCAUCUUCUUCACUUCAAUUAUUUCUAUAUUCUAAUGCUACUUUUUUCUUAUAAUUUUGUUCCCACAGAUGAAAAGAAUGGAAAACCAAUUGGUCAACGAGUACGUAAUUAAUCUUUAACAUCGAUUGAGCGAUGUUCGCUUUUAACUACUAAAUAUAACUUUUGAUUGGUCUCAGGCUCAUACCGGAUGGUUGUAUGAAGUACCAUGGGGAAUGUACAAAGCUUUGAUGUAUGUGAAGCAACACUAUCGAAAUCCAAACGUUAUAGUUUCAGAAAAUGGUAAUUCACUCUCAAUUUCUGUUUAUUUGUUUUUGAUCAGUUUUAGUCAUGAGGUUAUAUUUAUUACUAAUUCCUUUUUUCAUAAGAAAAAAACUGUACAGAAUAUUCCCUUUUAUAAUUAUUUUUCUAAAAAUGUAUAUGAUUUGUAUAGAUUUUCAAAUCAUUAUCCCUACAAGAAUAUGGUAUCUUUGAAAUAAUCGUAAUCAAAAUUUGAAAACAAAAUAUAGGAAUUUUGAAAACUCAUUCAGCAUUUUUUUCUCACAUGAUAUUUGAUAAUUGGGUUUGCACUAGAAGUCGUCGUUAUACGUACAUAUGUUGGCAAGUAGCUGGUAGCAGGUAUUUUGUAACAGUUAAACGUUUAAUUCUAUUUUAAAUGCAAUGAUAGGAAUGGACACUUCUGAUAUCCCACUUCCUGAAGGGUUAAAUGAUAGAGAAAGAAUAAAUUACUACAAGACAUAUUUGCAAAACAUGAAGAAAGCCAUUGAUGAUGGAGCUAAUGUGAGUGGAUAUUUUGCAUGGUCUUUGCUUGAUAACUUUGAAUGGCUAUCAGGUUAUACUUCAAGGUUUGGUAUCAUAUAUGUUGAUUACAAACACAAUCUCAACAGAAUUCCUAAGAUGUCAGCCUAUUGGUUCAAACAAAUGAUUAGUAAGAACUAGGAGUAUAAUUAAACCUAGCUCAAGUAAUAUUUUAAAUGCUAUUGGUAACUAUAUAUAUAUAUAUUAUUCUCUUCCUUUCUUAUAUUUAUAAGAAAAUAAAUGAUUGACGAACAAAACAUAUUAGUGGAUCAUCUUUUACCAAAUUUUGAAAUUGAAUGAUAAUUGAUAUUUUAUGAAUCGAAUUAUGCUUAUAUUCUCGAGACUCUUUAAAUCUCUUUUUUUAAUUUCACUAAGAUAAAUACUUUUAUCUUAUAUAUAUAUGCAAAUUUUUUUCAUGAUAGUCUCUACUUAAUUUUGUUUUUUUAUACAUGUGUGUAUAUGUACAUAGAGGAAAAAUUGAAGUUGAUGUUAGGACAUCUUUUACAUGUCAAUUUUGAACAACUGUGUUCAAUAUUUUGUCAGGCAUUAAAUUAUUUGUGGUCAUUUGUAUCUUUUUACUUAUGUAAUAUUUUAUUUUAAAGUAAUAUUAAUUAAAGCGAACUCAACUAAGAAGUUUAUAGUUAAAUUCUUCUACCGUACCAAAUUUAAAAAAGAAAAUAGUAUUCACCUUUUAAAUGAUUUUAGAAAUAUUAUCAUGGUCUGAUUCUUUUCCCUUUAAAAGUUGUAACUUAAUUUGGAUAUAGUUUCAAUUAGUUCCUCUUUACAAGUUUCAAAUUUACUAGUUGUGGUUUGAAUAUUUAGUUUAAAUUAGGCGUGAUAGUUGGCUUAGUUUUCUUUAUCUUGUAUAUAUCUAGUCAAGAAUCAAUAAAUAAAUUUUUCAAAAUGACUGUAAUCUGUUUGAUUUAAAAGUUUUAUAUAGGUUAAUUAGCUCAAUAAGUAUGCAAUUAUGAUGGCACAUAUCUAUAACCUCGUACAAAAUAUGGAGGAAAGUUCACGAACCCUAGGUCAAUUGACAUAUACUCAAGUCAUUAUGACUUUAAGAAAAAAAAAAAGAAUUAGUCAUUUAUGAUUCUAAAAAAAAACUCAUACUAAACUUACAUCUUAAAGCCUUUAACGAACUUAGGCACAAAUACUCGUCUAGUACUAGCCCAUUCUCUUUUGUGCGUCAUAUUUAAAUUGAAACUAAACUUAAAUAUUUAGAUCGAACUCAAAAGAUUCUAAUUUGUAAUUUAGUCGCGACAACAUUCUUGUUAAAAAAUGAUGACUAGCUAACCAAAUUAAACUGCACCUCUAUUAUCUAUUAUAUCUUAGUCACAAUGAAAUUAAUUAAGUACAAUAAUAUUAUCAAUUGGUCAAUAAAGGGGACUAAUCCAACUUGGAUCCCAACAACAACAACGUGGCUGAUAGUUAAGGAGAUAAGACCCUUCUAUUGGUAUGAUAUCAUGGGUGUGUUCUUAAUCAAUUAAUUAAACCCUUAAUUAGAAAAAAUUGAAACAGUUACAAUGUCCAACUAGGCAGCUUCCAUUUCAAUAAACCACAUCUGACGUGCCAUCAUUUGUGGUUACUAAUUAAUAGUUAUGCCACUUAGAAAAAGCCUAAGCCACUUAGAUUAUUAAUUAUGAUUAUAAUUAUUAAUUUCAUUUUCAUUGAGUCUAUGUGUGGUUCUUCCACUUUAAUGACCUGAAAAAUGCCUUUUUCUCCUAAGCACUAUUAUUCAUUCUCAUUCGUGGUUUCAUUAAUAAAAAUCAUCUCUAAUAUAAUCUAAUCAUUCACAUUAAGUAGUAAUAAUAAUAAUAUACCAAAAACAUGGGCUUUCAUUCUUCACCAACUCUCUUAAGAGUGUGGCAUGCUUAGUGUUGUUGUACUUUGGGUUUUAUAUAUUUUAAUUCAAUUUGUUGGUAAAUAGUUGGAAUUAGUCGGUUUCCUAUGAAAUCAUCACCAAAAGGAUGUUUGGCUAUUAGUUUUGAUGCAUAUACAUCUAUCUUUUUUGUCAACUUUUGGAGUUUUUUUUUCCUCUUUGACAAUGUGGGUAAAGAAAAUCGAACAUAUGAUAUCGAGAUUGAUAGUAAAUAUUUUAUGUUGGGUUGAGUUAUACUCGUUUUGGUAUAAAUAAUAAAAUAAGCACACAAAGAUGUCUAAAUUUAAAGUUGAGAAGUUGGAGCUUGUUAUUAUCAAUCUCAUGGUUUAAAGGGUUAGUAGAGAUAGUAUAACGGAACGGUUUUAUGAGAAAAAAUUCAUAUAGUGACUUAAUCAAGCUUAAAUAAACAAAACCACAUCCAAAAAUGUUAAGAACUUGACAAUCAAAGAUAAAUAAAAAAUAAAAAGCGAACAUAAACAAUAGAGAAUAAUCAACACAAAGAUUUAACAUAUAGUUCACCAACAGUGUGUUAGCUACAUUCACGUGUAAAGGAAGAGUACAAACUUUAUUAGCAAGAAAAUAUCAUACUAUAGAUUCAAUUGUUGUUAGAGAGUUUAAUAUUGUGCACUGUUCAAAGCCUUAUAGAGCCAAAAUAAAAUAACAUGAAUACAAAUACAACUUAAUAUAUUUGUUUCAUCGCCCAUGUACUCUAGUUGAUAUUGAUGUACUAGGUGACAAGACCGUUAUAUUUUGGUCAUACAUUCAGAACGUCAAAUAAUAAAUUCAAAGCAUUCCAACACAAAACAUUAAUACAAGCUCGGAUUUCUAAUUUUGGGUUUUCAGAAACCCUACUUCAUGGUUAAAAUAACAUAUUAUUAAAACUCAAACUAAAAUAAUCUACGCUCCACGCACAAAAUCAUUAUAACUCAACUAUAAUAACCAAUUAUUGCCUCAAACGCUUCUUUAUUUAGAGGGUGAAAAAGAUUUUUGUUUAAUUUCCUCACCAAUUUGGCUUAGCAUUAUUUUAUUCUUAACAUAUAUGAAUAUGUGUCUAAUAACUAUAUGGGAGUUGUAACCGUACACCAUUUUAGACAUACCGUAUCAUGACUCUUUGGAUGACACCUCAAAUCUUGAUCUAAAAGCAUAGAAUGAUUCAUAAAAAAGGAUACACAUUCAUAUAUCAUAACGCACCAAAUCUCAUCAAAACUUUACAGUUAAGCAUACUCGAACGAUAUAGUACUAAAUUUGGUGAUCACUUGGAAAGUCUUCGUUUUCACCUAUUUAGAGAAAUAAUGUUCAAGAAAGUCACCUCAAGGCAAUAAAAGAAGCUUAAUAUCUUUGAUUUCAAAUAUAUCAUCCCAUCAUUUUAAGCACUUUGAGUUUAGCAUAUGUUAGCUACAACCGAUAUAACGAGUUCUUAUACUUAGAGUUGGAGAGAGAAUUUUUUAUGUGGUUGUAAUAAUUUUUGACAAAGUAUAUUUUUUUUAUUUCUCACUUUAAUUUUUGCAUAAUCGUGUGAUAGUAGUAAGUGGUUUUAUUCCAAUAGAAAGUGAGUAAAAAAUGAGCAUUGGUUUGAUUGGGAAGGAACCCUUAGGUUCAACUUAAUUUCUAAUGUAAUUUAGUUAUAUUAUUGGUUGAUAAAAAAAUUUAUAUUAGUUAUAAAAAGUAGCUCCUUCUUUUAUGACAAUGACAGUUGAAUUUGAUUAAUUAUUAAUUAAGAGAAAACAUAUUGGGUUUGGAGCAUAUGAGAUUUAAUUAAUUUAUUAAAAGCUUUGCAGCCCUAACCAAAGCCAUGCAUGGCUUAUAAAUACUACCAAUUUCAAAGCUUCUAAAUACACCAAAACAAAAACUAACUUCCAACACAAGAAAAACCCAAAAUAAUAAUUCCAAUAUCUUCUUCCUUCUUCCUUCUUCCUUCUUCCUUCUUCCUUCUUCCUCGAUCUUCUUUAUAGGCCUCCUUCUUUCUCUAUAUUCUCAAAAUCAUGUCAUCCCUUGGAGCUUCCUAUGCCAAAAUCCACCUCCUACAGAAGCAACAAAAGGAGAAACUUGAGAGAAUGGAACCAAAUCGAUUCUCCCGAGGAGAGACCGCCACCGCCACGGGUUCCUCUAGUGGUGGUUCUUUGCUUGCAAGGAAUAAAAAAGUUCACCCGGGAAGCAUUGCUCCGACGACCACAGUCGACAGCUACAAAAAUAGAACAUGAUCAAGUUAUAUAUUUGACUUUAUGCUUCCCGGCCCUUCUUGAUCAUGACCUGUUUUCCUUCUUUUAGUGUCUAUAAAAUCGAAAAGCUUUUGUUUGUGUAAAUGUGUUUAAAAAUGUCUGUCCAAAGGCCAAAAGAAAAAGAAGAGGAAGAAGAAGAAGAAUAGUAUAAGUGUGUCUUUUGGUCUGAUCUACUCUUUUCAUGUUCUCUAGUCUGUACUUUUCCAAUGUUUUGCUGUUAAUUAAUUAAGGAUGUAAUUGUGUCUUAAUGCUUUAUAAGGUAAAGUAUAACACUUUAGUUUUUAUUAUACAUAUAUAUAUAGUAAUUUUCUCCUUUGACGUCAUGAUAGCUAUAGAAAAGUAUUUGGACAAUAUACAUCUCACAACUAUAUCUAUUCAUCUCAAAAUGAACAAAGUGAAGAAAAAAUUCAAAACAAUUAAUUAUUUUAUGUAGAGAUGUGAAGAAAUAAAAUAACUAUAUACAUUUGUAAUUUGUAACCUGUUACAUUAACAUUUGAAAAUGAAGAUGAAGUAAGUUGUAACUAAAACAUGUGAAUAGAGGAUAUGUGAGGGUUUGGACCUAUCAUUUUCAAUAUUGAUUUCAUAAGAAAGGAGAUUCAUAUCAUCCUCAUUAGAGGGAGGUAUGAUAGAGACAUGAG